rnacentral:lncRNA from 1 species
CUGUUGAGAUCAAGGAUGACUAUUGACAAAGAUAUUGAAAGAUUACAACAAACAUCUCAAAGAAAGACAUCUAUGAAUCCAUGCAUGAUUUGCUCAUAAAUACAUGAUCAAUGAGAUCACCUCUUUGUCAAUCUGGGCAUAGUUUAACUGCUCUGAUGAUGGGUGCCCGUUAAACUGAAAAAAACUGUACCUAAGCACCUCCCUGCCAUCAUACCGCACCCCCCCCUCUGUCACAAAGAUAUUCAGACGGUGAUGUAUAUCAAUGUCAAGGGGAAGGACUUAUGGAGGGAUACAGUCAGUGAAUACACGCACCUGUGCGCAAACGGCUCGGCUGUAGAAUCCGGCCUAAUUGAUGUUACAUACCGAAUAACGCAGCAGCUGUAUAGAGAUAUGGCCAUACUUGUCCACCUGAUUGAUGAUCUUACUUAUUUCGUAUAGAAAUGAAAAACGGAUAGAUGGGGAUUGAGUUAGUUGUCACCCGCGUAUCAAGAAUCACAUAGAGUAUAAUGAAACGGUUUGAACGGCUUGAGAGUGAAUUACUUAGAAAUUGAGCGUGAGGUAGUCAAACAUGAAGAGCGAGUAGGAUGAGGCGUGUGUAGCUGUGAUACCCUGGCCCUUAUGUCUCUUCUUGCGAGNNNNNNNNNNNNNNNNNNNNNNNNNNNNNNNNNNNNNNNNNNNNNNNNNNNNNNNNNNNNNNNNNNNNNNNNNNNNNNNNNNNNNNNNNNNNNNNNNNNNCCCCCCCCCCCCCCCCCACACACACACCCCAAAACAUUGUUUCUGUGCUCAUCAGCAAGGGACGGAUUAAAUCCGUGGAAGUGGUCGCAAAUGCCAGAUGACUUAACUGGUGCCUGUGGUGACAUCUAGUUAGAUGAAUCUGUGCCAUAGUCAAGCAUUUCUUUUAUGUUUAGCUUGAUUGAAGGUCCCAUAGAUGAGCACAAGUAUGCCGUUUUCCAGUAUAUACCCUUAGCACCAGAUGGCUUGUUCCUCUCAACAGAGCGCUGUCAAUGGGGAUGGCAAGAUGUAUGUCAACAAAGAUUCUCAAUAACAUGAGCAGAGAUAAAUGUUUAUAGGAACAGAGAUCUUACAACAACAGCCAUGAAGUUUGUGAUAAGAUCUUCUUCAGGGAAGUCAACCUUGCCGAAGGGAAUAUGGACAAUUCCUGUUUUGUCAACUCUGUAUUCGACUUUACCCUUCUUGAACUCUUCGAUAGCCUGGAAAGAUUCGCACAAUUAGCAUUAUCUACUUCAUUCAUCUCCAAUGGCAAGUAUCGAUACAAGCAUGGGAUUAAAAUGCUUCAAUUUUACAUGGUACAUGAUUCAAAGAUUAAAUAAUAGUCAACCUAAUGGUCAUCUGGACCCUACUUUAAAUUCCAUUUUUUUUUGGAAGAUCUAUUAUUGUAGUCAUAACAAUACCAUUUGGCCAACCCAGAAUUCCAGACACUAUUUGAUUACAAUUAGAGGGAGGGAUAUGCAUCAAGGUCAGAUGUGUCCAGUACUGCAUCAAUUGCUGAAGCACUUAUAGUCUCUGCAAGGAUGGACACAGAAACACUAGACAAACUCAAUAUGUAACACAUCCCAUUUUCCAAAUGGAUAACAACAUACAUAGUCGUAGUCCUUUCGAUUUUUUGGUACUUUGAGCCUUGCUUCUGAAAUAAACUGAACAGUGAACACUGGUCCAGAUUUGAAGUCAUAGCCGAUCACUCAAUCAACUGCCUCACUACUUUUUUGCUAAUUAUUAUUGUCAGUGUAUUUUGUGUUGCCGUUACUGAGCGGAUCUGUGGAGUCAGGAAUUAAUUAAUAUUAUCACCAGUCUACUACCAUAAACCAACAGUGCUCCAUAUACUCAAACAUCUCUCGUCUAAUUUCCUCCAAUUUGAUCAGUAAAUACAACCUUUUCAGCUUUCUUAACUUUUGCUAGGCACGAUUAAACAAGCAGCACAUGUUCAAGAUAAUACCAUUCCUGAGCCUUCAAUUAUCAAAAUACAGGAAAGUAAAUACAACCGACAAAGGUAGCACAUGUUCUAGAAGUGCGGCUAAGUACUACAAUGCCAUGAACUUUUCAAUCUUGUCACAGUGCCCAGACCAAGUAAUAAAGGCACAAAUGAUUUACAAGCAAUAUUGAUGAAAAGUCAGGGGAAAACAAUCUUUGACUUCCUCAAUACCUGAGUAAUGUUCGGAGAAACAGUGCCAGCUUUGGGGUUAGGCAUCAGUCCUCUUGGUCCUAGAAUCUUACCCAAGCCAGCAACCUGAAAAGUAAUAGAAAUAACUCAGCUUGAUAAUUAUUUAAAGCAAAGCCCACACUGGAAGAUUCAAUGAGCAUGGUGAAUACUGUGACAAACAUAUACAAAGAUUUGAACGUUUAUUUUAGGCCUAGCUUUCAAACAACGAAGCAUCUCAAUAUGUAUUCCUGUAGUCGAAAGUUAGAUUGUUAUAGCUAAUCUAUUUUAGCUGAACAAAACAAUGAUUUUAACAGUUUACACAGCAAGACAUCAAGGCCUAUAGUAGUCGCAACUAAAUAUUCAUUUGAAAUUUUUUGCGACUGCCUCCAAUAUGAAACUGAAAUAAAAGCAGAACCUUUUCAAGGAUAGGGAAAAAUAACAGAAAAGGUACAAAAAGGGUGUCUGGCCAAACAAUCAAACAAUGGUUCAGUGUAUUCUUCCUGGAAAUAUUCAUAAUGUAAAAUUUUAUACUAGUGACAGGCCAUGAUAACUAUUUGGUCAAACCUCAGCUAAAUGAUUGAUGAAAUUGCAACGUGAUAGAUCAUCUUCACCAAGCAAGCAAAUAUUUCAAUCAUGAAUGCCACAGCUAGUUCUACUUCCAUAUUUCAUACCUUAGGCAUCAUAUCAGGUGAUGCAAUCAAUUUGUCAAACUCCAUAAAUCCUCCUUUUAUUUGUUCGAUCAACUCAUCUCCACCAACUAUAUCAGCUCCUGCAGCUCUAGCUUCAUCUAUCUUCUCACCUGUAAGGGCAAGAAACAAUUACUAAUGCAUAAUGGUAACAAUUAUUCGAGCUACUUAGGUACCUCCAGCAUUAUGAUCAUAUCAAGAAAAGCAUGAGUAUGUGACACGAAGGAGUGUGGAAGACAUGUUUCAGUCAUUCAACAAGGAUAUGCUCCAUGGCCAGCACAAAAUAUAGCACCAAAGCCACAUAUAUUUCCAGCUGACUUCUUUUGAAUAUGAAGAGACAUCAUGAAAAUAUUACAUGGAUUGAAAUAUUCUUCUAACAGGUCCUCAAAAACAACUAGUUUUAUCCCACAAAUUGAUGUGAUCUAAUAGCUUAGUCCUUAAUAUCAGUACACAAUAGUACGCAGAAAUAAAGGCAAUCAUGUUUCCAAUUAAACCAAUAUCCACCCAUGAGGAGCAAUAUAUCGGCAAACAGCACAAUCACACAUAUGAGCCACUAACAACAACAUUUCCAAUCAGCACCCACCUUGUGUGAGAACUGCAAUCUUCACCGUUUGGCCUGUUCCCUUGGGCAAAUUCACCUGUCCUCACCAAGACCAACACAGAAUCCAGAUCAACGAACGCAAUAGGACACUCUCAAACAGAACAGAACAAGAGAAAACAAGAAACGAUACCGUUGCACGGAGCUGCUGAUCAUUGUACUUGGGGUCGAGGUUCAUGCGGAAGUGCGCCUCCGCCGACUCCUUGAAUUUCGCGCUAGCCAUCUGCUUCAUCAGCGAGAUGGCGGUGGGCACGUCGUACUCCUUCUUGCUCUCCCUGAGCUUCUGUAUCUCGAGGAACCUCUUCGACCUCGUCUGCGCACCCCCAAAACCAGCGCGGCGUCACCCGACCGUACAAAAUCACGCAAACGAUAGGAAUCAUAUACACGAGAGAGGGGGUGCAUACGCGGUCGCGCUUGAGCGGCAGGGCGGCCUUGCCGGUGCGCGGCCGCGUGGGUGGCGUGAACGCGGGGCCGCGGCCCCCCUCGUACCCGUCGUCGUCGUCGUACCGCCCUCCCUGGUCGGCCUCCACCUCCUCCUCGAGCACGGCCCCCUGCGGGUCGGCGACGGCGGCGGCCGCGGGGCGGCGGAACGCGAGGAGCAGCCGCGGGUACGCGCGCAGCGACGGCACGGAGGAGGGGAACAGCAGCGCGUUGGGCGCUGCCGGCGCCGUGCUGGCCGCCGGCGCGAGGAGUGAGGUGGAGGCGGAGGCCGCAGUGGCUGUGGCCAUGGUGGUGGUGGGGUGGAGGGGAGGAGGGCGGAGCAGAUAAGAGGGAGUGGAGGGAUAGCAAGAGGAGCCGAAGUGGCCGCGCGCGCGGGUUAUAGCCGAUGAGGGGACACUCGGCCUCGGCGUUCACCGGAUAGGGCUGGGCGUGGGCGGGCUCGCGGCCGCAGGGAUGACGGGGAGCGGCGCGUGAACUUGGCCCCGGAUUACAGCGAUUUGGCUCGCAUUUUGGCUGGACGCGUCGGGAAAUCUGCUGGUUUGGGUCGGGGCGGGCGGGUUCGUGUCCGCGCGGGGGGCGGCGGGCGUGGAGAAACGCAGCUGAUUUGGCUGGGCCGAGACGCGCGCCGGUGUUCGGGGACGUGGGGCGCCUGUUUUGGCUCGGGCCCGAGCGCCGUGCCGACGCGCGGGGGGCAGACGGACAGGUGUGUGGCCGCGGCUCGCGUGUUGGUGGUGGGGGUCGAGCGGCAGCGACGAGGGAGGCCGGCGGCCGUGUGUGGCUGCGAGCUGGGUUGGGAACAAAACGGUCCUGCUGCUUCUAGACUUCUGGCACCACGACUACGAGUGUUCUUGUAGCUUGAAGGUUACUUCGGCUUUCCGGGGCCAGUGUUGUACCAAAACUGGCAGCGUGACAGGUGAAUCUUUUCACUCCCCGGCGAGUGGCGAGAUUUUUGUGGCUUGCGUUGGAUCGUUCCGUACGAUCGAGCUUAUCCGUGAUCGUUUUUCUGGUCAUUUCGCGUUCUUUGCUUCGGCUAUCAUUUCGUGUGGAUCCUAAGCGGUGGUGGGUGGCUAACUGGGCUGUCAAGAGAACGACCCCCGCAGAUAAGUGAUAUGAUAAGACGCAGCAUGGAGCACGUGAAAGCUUUGUUCGCCAGCGGUAUGUGGUGGCACCCGCAACAGGGGAGUCGAUGGAUCGUAGAUCAGAGACAGGGAUAGACUCGCGGCUACUAGAAAACCGUCCUUAGCUACGUCAGAUUUAUAGGUAGACACAAUUUAUUUCGUCUCUAUAGCAAUGUAGGCACGCUUCCAUAAAGCGUGUUAGAGGCAUCUUCGUACGUACCGCGUCAGACCUCGUAGAGAUGAAUCCUUUAAGCGUUGCUAUAAAAGAAAGAGACAUUUUAUAAACACGUUAGAUGCAUAUCUAAAAAUAUUGAUACAAUUUUGUAGACACAUGUAUAAAAUGUCUCUAGUGGUUAGUAACGUAGUAUAGUAACGCUUCAUUUCGUAUUAAUAAAUAUAGAUACAAUUUAGACGCGUUUUAUAGCGAUGUCUUAUUGCGUAGUAAUUAGUAUAGAGACGAUUUAAGGGGUGUUUGGGAGCACUCCACUCCAAAUUUUUGAGCUCCACUCCACCAACUCCAGAAAAAUACCAGAGCUGUCCACAUGUUUGGCAAAAUGCACAGAUCCAGCUCCGGAAAUAGAAGAUCUUGCUGUGUAAAGUCCAUUACCCAUGUGAAUGGGUCCCACUUGUCAGUCUCUUUAGUUCUCCCUCUGUUCUCCCUCUCUUCUCCUUUGCUAGUAGGGAAUGGAAGGCCACGAGCAGGGCGAGAAGAGGUGGGUGGCGCGGCAGGGCGGGCGUGCGGUGGGCGACGCGGCAGGGGCGGGCGCACGGCGGGCGGCUGGCGCGGCAGGGGACGGGCGGCAGGCUGGGGCGGCGUGAGGGGUGGUGGCCAGGCGGGCGGCGCGGCGGGCAGGCGAGGCGGCAGCGGCGCGGUGGAAGGCAGGGGCGGCACGGCGCGACGAGAGUCUUUUUUUUUGUUUCGCGAACCGGUAACCUGUGUAACGAGUGGCAAUGGUGGGUAAAUACCCACCAACUCCACGAGGAGGUCUAUAAAGGGGGUUGUUGGAGCACCUCUUGAGGUACUCCAAAAAAACGUGGAUCUACCCCCCUGCUCCACCUUUUUCCUAGAGCCGGAGUUGCUGAAGCUAGACGCGUUUGGCUACGAAAUUUUUGGAGUUGGUGGAGUUGAGCAAUUUUUUGUGGAGUGGAGUGCUCCCAAACGCCCCCUUAGUAGAGCGUGACAGGUGACGUGGCAGAUGAUGUGGCAGGUGACAUGGCGGAUGAUGUGGUGGGUGACGUGGCGGAUGUUGUGGUGGGUGAUGUGGCACGUGAUUUGGCUGUUGACGUGGCGGGUGACACGUUUCAUAGUAACACCAAAUUGCGUGUGUUACGUAGAUACAUUUUUAUUACGCGUGUACGGAUAUAGACACGUUUUAUAGUAACACCACAUUAUGCAUUAAGAAAUGUAGAGACGAUUUAUAGAUACAUCUAUUUUCGUGUGUACUAAUAUAUAAUGAUUCUUUUAUUUGCAUUUAUAAAUUCAAUAUAUCAUUUUAUUUUUGAAUAGUUUAAUAAUGCCAAAAUAAAUUAUCCAUGAUAUUUCAUUGGCAAUCAAUUCUUUACUUCACCAAGAAAAAACUGAGUAAUUCAUUCAAGAACCAACUAGUAUAUUAAUUGAAUAUUUUAAUAAUGCCUAAAUAAAUUAUCCAUGAUAUUGCAUUGGCAAUCAAUUCUUUGCUUCACCAAAAAGAAACUGAGUAAUUCAUUCAAGAACCAACUAGUACAUUAAUUAAAGUACUGUCAACAAGACAUUGCCUUGAUAAAGAAACACAGACAAAGCCACAAUAUCAUACAAUUAUUUCUAAAUUUUUUCAAUAACAACUAAAACCUAUGCUUUAUUUCCCGUUCUUGCGCCUCUCGCCAUUACAACUUCACUUCUACCUUGAAAAGUUACAUCAUCACCAGGUUGUUUAAGAUUUGAACUUGUAGCUUUCUUCACCUGUAACAAGAGUUGGGCACAAGAACACUAGUAGCAACAACACCUACACACCAAUACACACCAAAACUCAAGAAAUAAUAGAGCUAUAGUGAGAGAUGAGCAGAUCAGAAAUGAGCUUGCCAUCAAGAAACACAGAUCAAAAGUCCAUGUAUUAUGAUGUAUAUGUGCAUAUUAUGAUGUAUUUAUCCUUUCCUUGCACACUUGAUGUAUUCCUUGUACUCCAAGCCAUAUUGGCCAUAUAUAUAGAGGUCACCCCCCUAAUUAGGGUGUGUGGUGUUUUCCCAUCUAUUUCUCUACAUGGUAUUACGAGAUUAGAUCGUGGGCCUCCUCUCCCUGCGCCUUCCCCCUGCUCCAUGCAACCCUAGGCGGCGCCCCCCUGCUACGCCGCCGCCACCUACCCUCCGCUGCACCUCCCGACCGGCUCCCCCCUGACCGGUUUCCCGACCGCCCCCCCGGUCGUGCGCAAUGUCCUCCGCCGACUCCUCUAUGUCCGGAGACACCACCGCUCCUGCUGCUAAUCCUGUGCCGUCUCCUGGACUGCCCCUGCUGCCACGCCGAUGCAUCUGUGCCACCACCUGGCACCGGCGGCUNNNNNNNNNNNNNNNNNNNNNNNNNNNNNNNNNNNNNNNNNNNNNNNNNNNNNNNNNNNNNNNNNNNNNNNNNNNNNNNNNNNNNNNNNNNNNNNNNNNNNNNNNNNNNNNNNNNNNNNNNNNNNNNNNNNNNNNNNNNNNNNNNNNNNNNNNNNNNNNNNNNNNNNNNNNNNNNNNNNNNNNNNNNNNNNNNNNNNNNNNNNNNNNNNNNNNNNNNNNNNNNNNNNNNNNNNNNNNNNNNNNNNNNNNNNNNNNNNNNNNNNNNNNNNNNNNNNNNNNNNNNNNNNNNNNNNNNNNNNNNNNNNNNNNNNNNNNNNNNNNNNNNNNNNNNNNNNNNNNNNNNNNNNNNNNNNNNNNNNNNNNNNNNNNNNNNNNNNNNNNNNNNNNNNNNNNNNNNNNNNNNNNNNNNNNNNNNNNNNNNNNNNNNNNNNNNNNNNNNNNNNNNNNNNNNNNNNNNNNNNNNNNNNNNNNNNNNNNNNNNNNNNNNNNNNNNNNNNNNNNNNNNNNNNNNNNNNNNNNNNNNNNNNNNNNNNNNNNNNNNNNNNNNNNNNNNNNNNNNNNNNNNNNNNNNNNNNNNNNNNNNNNNNNNNNNNNNNNNNNNNNNNNNNNNNNNNNNNNNNNNNNNNNNNNNNNNNNNNNNNNNNNNNNNNNNNNNNNNNNNNNNNNNNNNNNNNNNNNNNNNNNNNNNNNNNNNNNNNNNNNNNNNNNNNNNNNNNNNNNNNNNNNNNNNNNNNNNNNNNNNNNNNNNNNNNNNNNNNNNNNNNNNNNNNNNNNNNNNNNNNNNNNNNNNNNNNNNNNNNNNNNNNNNNNNNNNNNNNNNNNNNNNNNNNNNNNNNNNNNNNNNNNNNNNNNNNNNNNNNNNNNNNNNNNNNNNNNNNNNNNNNNNNNNNNNNNNNNNNNNNNNNNNNNNNNNNNNNNNNNNNNNNNNNNNNNNNNNNNNNNNNNNNNNNNNNNNNNNNNNNNNNNNNNNNNNNNNNNNNNNNNNNNNNNNNNNNNNNNNNNNNNNNNNNNNNNNNNNNNNNNNNNNNNNNNNNNNNNNNNNNNNNNNNNNNNNNNNNNNNNNNNNNNNNNNNNNNNNNNNNNNNNNNNNNNNNNNCCAUGUGCGGCAAGUUCGUCUCAAGUCGCACAUCGAUGUACGUGCGCCCCGUCCCCAGACCCCACUGGGAUCAAGCGGAUUGCUGUGUCCGCUCUGGUUCUUUAGCUCCAUCGACGACUCCAUCCUCGACCUCACCAUGACCGAUGAUGAUCAGACCGCUUGGGAUCUUUGGCUCGCCAUCGAGGAUCUCUUUUGCGUCAACAAGCAGUCCCGGACGAUCUUUCUCAGCCACGACUUCCACUCCAUGACACAGGGCAACUCCUCCAUCAUUGAGUACUGCAGCCGCAUGAAGACCCUUGCCGACGCCCUCCGCGACAUCGGCUAUCCCGUUCAGGACUCCCAGCUUGUCUUGAACCUCCUCCGCGGCCUCAACCCGCGCUUCUCCAACACCAGUGACGACAUCGCCAACUCCACCCCCGGCUUCCCAUCCUUCGCUGAAGCAUGGGACAUGCUCACCCUGAAGGAACUUCGCCUCGCUAAUGAGGAGAAGAUCUCCAACUCCACCGCCCUUCUGGUCGGGACCUCCUCCUUGUCUUCGUCCUCCGACUAUACGGGCGGGUGUCGUCCGCCGUCUGGUUUUGUCCAGACUGGCAGCGGCGGCAACAGUAGUAGCGGCGGUGGCAGCAAGAAGAAGUGGCAAAAGAAGGGCAGCGGACGGCGAGCCCCCACGGCCCACCGACCUGUGAUUCUGCUUCAGUCCAGGGGCUGGCUCCUACGGCGCCUUGGGCUUCCAGCAGUCUGGCGGUCAGCAUCCGUCGGGCGGUGGGAGCUGGCGCGCCGGUGCCCCUGGUCUCCUCGACCCCCCUCCGCAGGCCCACGCCCCUGUUCAGGCGCCCACUCAGGCGUCAACCUAGGACCAGGCGGGUCUGGUUGCUGCCCUAAACUAGAUGGCACUGUAGAACGACGGUUGGGUGGUUGACUCAAGUGCAUCCAGCCACAUGUCAUCCUCGGAAGGUAUUCUUCUUUCCCGACUCCCUCCCUCUCAAUCCUCCAUUACUGUCAGUAAUGGUCACACCCUUCCUGUCACGUGCCGUGGCAACUCCACCUUUACCACCCCCACCUCUCAUUUUCGUCUUAACAAUGUCCUUGUUGUUCCCUCUCUGAUUCGUAAUCUGAUUUAUGUUCGUCAGUUUACUAAGAACAAUAACUGCACCAUAGAGUUUGAUGUUUUUGGUUUUUCUGUCAAGGAUUUUCCGACCAGACGCAUGAUUCUUCGCUGCAAUAGCGCUGAUGAUUUUUACACCAUGCCUCCAGCAACUAGCUUUGCAGCGCCCCAUGCCAGCCUCGCCAUCUCCUCCAGCUUGUGGCAUCUUCGUCUUGGUCAUCCUGGUCUUGCCGCCAUCGCCACACUUAGACAACUUCAUCCAUUGCUUGUAAUAAAGAUAGUCAUACUCUAUGUCAUUCAUGUCAGUUAGGGAAACAUGUGCAGUUACCUUUCUCACAUUCUAGCUCUCACAAUUUUGCUCCUUUUGAGUUAGUUCACUGUGAUGUUUGGACUUCUCCCAUAGCUAGCAUCUCUAGUUAUCGCUACUACCUAGUCAUUUUGGACGACUUCUCGCAUUUUUGUUGGACGUUUCCUUUAGUUCACAAGUCUGAAGUCGCCUCACACAUCACUGAUUUUUGCGCCUAUGCUCACACGCAGUUUAGUCUUCCUGUUUGAAGCGUCAAAGCUAACAACAGGACCGAGUUUUUCAAUAAGACUCUCACAUCUUUUUUGACUUCUCGGGGUAUCCACUUGCACCUCUCGUGUCCCUACACUUCUCUCCAAAAUGGGAAAGCCGAGUGUGUCCUACGGACCCUUAAAAACAUGACUCGCACAUUGCUCAUUCACACCUCCAUGGCCGCCCCAUACUGGGCCAAGGCGCUCGCCACCGCCACCUAUCUUCUGAACCGGUGCUCCUGUUUUGCCAUUUAGAAUGACAUCCCCUACCGCCUCCUCUCUUCCCAGCCUCCCGAAUACUCUCACUUGCAUGUCUUCGGUUGUCUUUGCUACCCCAACCUUUCAGCCAUGGCACGCCACAAGCUUGCUCCUCGCUCCGCAGCCUGUGUCUUCCUUGGUUAUCCCUCAUCUCGCAAGGGGUACCACUACCUUGACUUGUCCACUCGUCGAGUCAUCAUCUCUCGCCAUGUUGUCUUCAAUGAGUCCGUCUUUCCCUUCUCCUCCCAUCCUACUCACCCAUCGCAGCUCGACUUCCUUUUGACGAGCCUCUCUGAUGUUCCUGCUUCCACCUCGGUCGCUCCGUCAUCAGACGUUGAGCAAUCGCGGCCCUCACCAGUUAUUUUGCAGGAACUCACCAACGAUGACCCCGCCAUCCUGUUCCACGGGCCGAUCGUGUACCCCGCUCCGUCUGUGGGCGUGUCGCCGCUCUCCACCGCACUCCCGACUACUCCAGCCACGACUGCAAUGCUUCCGACCGUGAUUGUGGCGUGCAGGUCGCACCCCUAAUUGUUCCGACCGCGACCGCGCCACACACGAGUGCAGCCCCAACCACGACCGCAGCACUCCCGACUGCUCCGACCACGACUGCGUCACGCGCGGGUGCGGCCCCGAUCACCUUGACCGCACCGGUGAGCGAUCCGACAAGUCGGGCGAGCGCCCAUGGUCCUCCCCCUGUGCCCACAGCGCCCGCGUCCUCCUUGUCGCCACCUGUCCCUCCGCGCCAUGUCACUCGAUCUGUGACUAGGGCAAUCUAGCUGUGCCAUUACCACGACAUGACAGCCUCGACUUCUUCUCCGCCCUCUCUGAUUCCAGUGAACUAUCACAGUGCUCUGGCUAACGCCAACUGGCGUGCCGCCAUGGUCGAUGAGUUACAGGCCCUCAUCGACAAUGAUACCUGGCGCCUCGUCCCGCGGCCGCCUGGUGCCAAUAUCAUGUCAGGCAAGCGGAUCUUCCGGCAUAAGUUCCAUGCCUAUGGGUCCCUUACGACGAGACCUUCAGUACGGUCAUCAAACUGGAGACGAUACAGACCAUCCUCAGCAUCGCCACUUCUCAUGCCUAGCCAAUCCACCAGCUGGACGUGAAGAAUGCGUUUCUUCAUGGACACCUCGCAGAGACUGUCUACUGCCAGCAGCCUCCCAGCUUCGUCAACCCCGCCGCCCCUGAUCAUGUCUGUCUCCUGCAGAAGUCCUUGUAUGGACUAAAGCAGGCCCUGAGGGCGUGGUACUAGCGGUUCGCCUCCUUCCUUCGCCAGCUCAGCUUCGUUGCCUCCACCUCUGACACCUGAGGGGCCGAGCAUUGCCUACCUGCUGCUCUACGUUGACGACAUCGUCCCUACCGCCUCAUCCUUGACUCUUCUUUAGCACAUCAUGGGGUGUCUUGACUCCGAGUCCGCCAUGACGGAUCUUGGUGACCUACAUCGCUUCCUCAGCAUCUCCGUCACGUGUUCCUCCCAAGGCCUAUUCCUGUCUCAGCGACAGGACGCCCUAGAUCUACUUCAGCGUGCUGGCAUGGCUGAGUGUCACUCUACAGUGACUCCUGUUGGCACUCAUGCCAAGCUUUCAGCACAUGAUAGCGCCAAGCUCUAGGACAGCUCUGAGUAUCAGAGUCUUGCCGGACUCUUCAAUACCUCACUCUGACUCAACCUGACUUGGCGUAUGCGGUUCAGUAGGUGUGCCUCUUCAUGCAUGACCCGCGCGAGCCCCACAUGGCCCUGAUCAAGUGCAUCAUGUGCUAUGUGAAGGGCACGCUCUCCUCCGGGCUUCACAUCGGCACCGGCCCUGUUCAGUCUCUAACUGCCUACUCUGACGUCGAUUGGGCUGGCUGCCCGGACUCUAGACGCUCCACCUCCAGCUUCUACGUCUACCUCAGCGACAAUCUGGUGUCUUGGUCCUCCAAGCGUCAGACCACGGUGUCUCGUUCCAAUGCUGAGGUGGAGUACCGAGUUGUGGCUCAUGCUUGGCAGAAUGUUGCUGGCUGCAUCAACUUCUUCAGGAGCUUCAUGUCUCACUUGCUUUGGCCACUGUUGUCUAUUGUGACAACGUGAGUGCUGUCUACAUGACAGCCAACCCGGUGCAUCAUCGGCGCAUGAAGCACAUCGAGAUUGAUAUUCACUUGUUCAUGAGAAGGUGGCCUUAGGUGAGGUCUGAGUCCUCCAUGUGUCGUUCUCUCACCAGUUCGUGGAUAUAAUAAUGAAGGACCUGCCAACUCCUUUGUUUACUGAGUUUAGGUCCAGUCUGUGCGUCUGUGAUCCUCCCGCUUCGACUGCGGGCAGGUAUUAGGUAUUUGUGUAUAUUAGGAUGUAUUUAUCCUUUCCUUGUACACUUGAUGUAUUCCUUGUACUCCAAGCUAUAUUGGCCAUAUAUAGAGAGGUCACCCUCCCUAAUUAGGGUGUGUGGUGUUUUCCCAUCUACUUCUCUACACCAUGAAAAGGACAUUUCUCAGUCUGAAACAAGUAAAGGCAUGCGUAAUUGUUUUCUCUUAUACUACUCUAGAAAUGUUUUGGAGAUAAUGAGUGGUAUGGAUAUCUAACAUGUUUGCUUUUAUAAGCGCACAUCGCAGGAUGACUAAAAUGAUGCCAUCAUAAGAUUUUAGAGCAAAUGCUGAAUAUGGAUGGGUAUGGGUUCUACAGCCACUACAGAUCUACAGUUUAAGUAAGAGUAGCACGCACCAUUUUCAGUUGUUCUUCAUUUGGAAUUUUGGAUACCGAGGACAUCACACUUUAGAGCUUUGUGUUUAUUUUGUCCACAAAAAUCAUGCAUGCAGAUCACACCCUAUCCUAGCUGUUAAAAUGUUGCUUUCCUAUAGCUCUAGAGAUUGAACUAAUCAUAUUUGUGUUUAUUUGGUAUGGGUUGAAGUAAUCAUGAAGGAAAGCUCCCCUUAACAAGCAGUCUAGCAAAAAAAAUAAUCUCAACACUAUACCUUUCCGGCAUUUGGUCGAACAGCAGCAUAGCUCAACAGCACCUACGCUUCAUUGCCCGUUCUUGCCCCUCUCUCCAUCGCAGCUUGAAGGACCAAAAUGGAUGACUAGACGGGGGGGGGGGGGUGAAUGGGAGCCAAUUCAAAAAUUCUCCAAGAAAUUCGAUCUAAGUCCCAAAGUAACCUUCAACCCUCUCUUCUAGCUAUUGUCAAGAUCACGUAGUCACAACGGACUUACUGACCUAAGGAACGAUGCUAGGAAGGCUCAGAAGCAACACGGAAGCAAACCCGAAAGAUUGAGGCAAAACAGGACUCAAAACACCUUCCAAGUAUCGGAACUUUUGAAAGUGGGAUUAGAACUAUCUAGAGAGGUCCGACAAGAGGUUCUCAGCGGUUUUAUCGGAACUUCCGACCCUGUAUCAGAACUUCCGGCACCUAUCAGAUGUAUUGAGAAACUACUGACAAGACUCUCGGGUUUUCAAAAAUAAAUCAUUGGAACUUCCGGUUCUGUGUCGGAACUUCCUACACAGUUUUGGAACUUCCUAUAGCACAGAAAAACAACCCGAAAAGUUUAGGUCAACACUUCAAAAUUCAAUCAAAUGGCCUCCAAAAUUCAUGAAAUUUUAACCAUAGCUCCGUAAUAGUCUAGUGAGUCUUUUCCCAAAAGAUCUCAAAAAGAUCAAGACUUUACUAUGGAUUUCAUGGAAUUCGGUCAAGAACACAAGAGAGAGAGAAUUUUGGGAAAACUUCAAAUUCAAGCCGAAUCCUUGGGGAUUUUGGGGGGGGGGGAACACAUCAAAGAUGUUGACAAGGGUCCUAGCACUAAUUUCCCCCAACAAAUCUCACAGGAUUUGAGGUCAAAUGUGAGGAACAAAAAAUCCCCAAAAAUGGCUCCGAAAAUAUCGAAAAACGAAGGAUUUAGCCAUGGAUUUGAACCGCAAAUUCAACUAAAUCACGAGAACAACAUCUCUACAAGAUGAGGACUAGCCUUCUCCCUUUAUCCACCCACUAAAAGGAAGAAAUCAAGAGAAAAGAGCAAUCACCCUCUCAUCUCCCUCUCUCCCUCUCUCUCUAAGCACAUGGCUAGCCUCUAAGCCAAUGAAUUAGGGUUUUUUCAAAAGGUGCUGAAAUAACCAGCCAUCCACCCAUAUCUAUAGUUCCUGGCAGAUGACCAAACUACCCCUACAGCUACAACUAAGAUAACCGCCCACGCAGGAGCAUUUUGGUCCAGAUUUUUAUUGACGCAUCGGACGGACACGCCGCCUUCACGACUUUGCUUCGCCUCGACGCAAGCUUCGUGAUGACGCCAUGUGCCCUCCUUCUCGAAGCUCCAGCCACACUGGGCUUGCCCCCGGUUUUGAGGCCCAAACUAGGAAACCUGCCUGCGCGGUGGUUUUGAGGCCUAAACCACCCAAACCGUCUAUCUUCGCUUGGCCGCCACGUGACUUCCUCGAUGUCGACGCGUGUUCAGCCUCCGCCGAGCCUCCCGCUCGACUCGACCGACGCUGUCUCCAUAUCGUAGGUUCUCUCGCCCUUCUGUGCACCAUAUUGACCGCCUAUAGCUCUGCCCAGACUUCUUGGGUCCAUCGGUCCAAGCCUACUCACGUUCAUCCUUCACCGCUCUUAGUCCAUCGACAUGAACCUUUUGCUUGACCUUCACCGCACGCCGUCGGCCGCCACACUGCAUCCUACACCUGCACAUCACAAGCCAAGAACAACAUCAAUCCCACAUAACAUUGUCAAUCACUCAUCAUCCAAGGGUGACCAUCAUCUGUCCUCACAGCUUCACCUCUCUCUUGAAAAGUUACAUCACCAGGUUGUUUCAGAUUUGUACUUGUAGCUUUCUUCACCUGCAAUGGGGCAUGGGGUUAGAUGAAUAUCAUAAUUUGAAGAUAUUACGAAACUGUAGGUUUAAUCUUUGAAAAAAAACUUACAUGUGAACGGGGCCCUGCAACGAUAUAGCCAAUAGCAUCUAUUAGUGUACGAAUGUCAAAAAUAGGUCUAGGUAUCAGCUCAUCUCCUUUAUUUCUACUGUUAACAUUUUCAAGACCUUCAACAUAAACCCCAACAUAUUCUUUUCGAAGAACGCUUCCUCCAAUAUCUCGUUUGGCAACAGUAGUCACUAACUUCACAUAGGACACAAUUCUUCCUUUGUUUCUUAGUGAAAGAAGAUAGACUGGAUAACGGCUCUACCAUUUUGCAAAACAUGAAGAUAAGAGUUCUGUACAUUUAACUAAUUUAACUAUAAAUGAAACAAGCGAAAUAGAAGCAUAUCGAUUCUAACUGGUUCAAAUUGGGGGCUUUAACUCUUUGAGUCCUCUAGAAUAGGCAGGGAUUAUAUUAGUCAAAAUUCAGCAUCAAUAAAGCAAGUUCACUCAUUAUAAACAAUAUUGCAAUGUUAGCUUAGACAUACCAUGUUUGUCAAAAUGGGAUCCUGUGCAAAAUUUGUGGCUGCAUUACCAUUACCUUCAUGAAUAGAACUCUGAAUAUGUGCCUCCUGCAGCCACAGUAUAGAUAGCAGUAUGAGUUUAUAGAUAACUAGGUAUGGACAAAGUAGAUGUAUCAUAAAUAAAGUUUGAUCUGAACUGAAACAAAAUUUAAUGACUGCAACAAGAGCAGCCUAAACUGAAUAGCUGCAGAAGCAGAGAGAUUGAACAGAAAUAUGCAAGCAGUCAUCCUACUAACAUCACCAAAAUAACCUAGGGGACUGAAUGAGAUUGAAUGUACAAGAUAGAUACUGCCCUAGCAAGUUUGAUUGCCCAAUUCGCUUUCUGUAUCAGCCCAAACCAGCACAAGCAGAUCAACUUUGCAAACAUUCAGCAUGAUUCAGUAUAGUAGCAAAGUAUACAGUCAAACACCUAAUGAUUUUUGUCGAGAACAAAUAAAAUAUUUACAUAUGGCGUGCAAGAGUGUCACUGCAUCUGCAUACAUAUGGUUUCUAAUGAAGAACCUUGCAAAAGAAUAGAUGAUCUCCUACCGUAUUCCAAAUUACUAUUGUACUUGUUCAAGCAUGUUACAGAAAUAACCUUGCAACCACAACAUGUUGCCUUUACCAAUUGCAUCUAAAAAAAAAAGGCAAAACCAACAGCUCGUACCCAAUACUGAAUAACUAGGAAACAGAUUUCAGAUGUACAUUUGGAUACACUAGGAUAGCUGGGGCAAAAUACCAUUUGUCGUUGUCAAGAUUAGCGGAUCAAGACUAUGGCUAGUAAAUUUAUUUUAUGCGCGUAAGGUUUCGGAUGGUGGCGUGAGAGGACACGGGGUUAGACUGGUUUGGGCAAGGAAAACCCUAUGUCCAGUAUGAGGAGUUGCUCGUGUUACUCACGCGUGGUCUGUAGUAGGGGUUACAAACAGGCGAGAGAGGAAGCCGGUCCUAAGUCUCUUGGGUGUGCACUGAUGCUCUUGAGGUGAGUGUGUGGGUUCUGUUGGCUUUUGAAUCCCCCUGUCUCGGCCCCCCUGGUUCUCCUUUUAUAGCACAAGGAGAGCUCAAGGGUUACAGGUGAGCUAGGUGUGAGGAGAAGUAAAAGAGAUAAGCUAAGUAAAGUAAAAUACAAGGAGAAGGACCAAGUUCCCAGACCGCUGCCUCCUGCUCUGGCCUUCGGCUCCUGUCAGCGCGGUCACCAAAGGAGGACGGUUGUCGCCGGAUCCUGUUGCCGGUCCCCUGGGCGACCAUCGCCGCCGGGCAUGAUGAUGGCGUCCGGUCGUGGCAACUGUGUACGUUGGGGGAGACGGCUGACUCCUGUUAUCCUGCUUAUGUCCCGUGGAACACGGACAUCGCGUCCCUGUCGCCGGAUAUGCUGGGCACGAGAACGGGCGGCGCUCCCUCCUGUGCUAGGCGGCGCAUGCUAUGAGUGCCCUAUGGUGAAUCAGGGGGAGCCGCGACCACUGUAGCCUGUGCGGUCAUGGCUACAGUGUUCCGCCCGGAUACUUGUGGCGGGUCACGUCGAGGGGUGCGGGCACCUUUCUACGUGCUAGAGCCGUGGUGCAUUUAUGGCAAGAUCGGUGGGGGGGGACCCACGAGAUUCGCGCCCUCAUCUGCCGGUCUGCGCCCGAGGUGGAUGCUUGUCUUGUGGGCUCGAAUGAGUCCGACCCCCUACGCCCGGGGUUGGGUGAGGCGGAGUCUUGCGGCGAGGGGUCGGGCGCUCCCGACCCUGGGACCGUGGGUUGGGUGAGGCGGAGUUUCGCCAUCGAGGGGUCGGGCGUGUCCGACCCCGGGACCCCGGGUCGGGCGAGUCGGAGUGGGAUGCUCCUUGCCCAUGCUGGGUCGGCGGUGAUCGUCAUUACCGCAGGUGGGCCUGGGCCUCCAUGAUUGUUUGUUUUAAGGGGCAUAAGGAGGUCGUUAAUAUUUCUCCCCAACACCAUUGCUGAAUUUGACGAAACAAUUUUUGGCACUAACCCAAUUGCAGCAAACAAAUUCUAUGCAAACUAAUUGUAUGCUUUGAACAAUAAAAGCAUACCUUGGCAACUGUUUGCUCACUAGGUAAAGAUGUAUGGUCUUGGGUGGAUGUCUCCUGCUGCAAAAUGUCAACAGCCAUAUUACAUAAUACAUUAGCAAAAACUUUAAUAUUAUUGUUGUAGCUGUGUACAUUAGAAGUAAAGUAUCUACUCUAUUACCUGCACUUCAUUUGUGGGAGAGUGCACAUUACCAAGUGAGUGUGCAGGGCUGUGAUCACUAUGACUUUCUGGUUCUAGAAGUCCAUCCUUGAAAAAACAAACAAUUAAGAGAGGGAUGGCUUACUUCCAGGUGGUAGGCAUAUAUACAGUUUAUUGUAAUAUGAAAUAACACAGGUCGAAUAGAUGCUUACUUCAUCAUCAUGUAGAUCUGCUACCAUUUCCUUGAUGAAAUCCUCUUCAGGAAACUUUUUUAACAUGAAACCAAGCCAAUGCUUCAUGAAACCACCUAUGUGUUGCAUCUUAUUCUCAAUUUCAUUUACUUUCUCUUCGUACCUUCUUUCUUUCUCAAAUUGAGUGACAAAAGUUAGACCUUGAGACACUCGAACUUCACUAUAGUACUUAUUAUCAUAGCACCCACAUGCUUUUAACUCCUUAGCAACUAUCUCAUUGAACACCGAAUUAAAAUCUUGAGUUGAAAGAUUACCAUUGUUGUUUUGUUGCAUUUUUUCUAAUUCCUCAUGAUGGGUUCAUAGACCCGGGGUCCCCAACAGGACUACUUUCCCAUGACACUUGGCCCAAUGAAGGGCGCAGCAACAACCCGUACCUGGGUUGGCCCAGCUACGCGAAGCCAUGCCGAGACCACGAUCCGACCACUAGCCGGCUUCUCCGACCAGGAAGCCUGGUUGGCGCCUCGACCAGGAGUCAGUUGGGGGUGGGGCCACAGUCCAACCCUGACAGAGUCCUCCCAACCGAGCUCUCCCGACUGAGCUCUCCCGAUCAAGUCCUCCCGACCGGGGAUACGUUGUACCGCCCGUACCGCUCCCCCCCCGACUGACUCGGUCAGGGCCAACUGGGACAAUCGACCAAGGACGCCCGCUCAGUGUGGGUCCAGGGAGUAGGUAGAACGGAUAACGAGGAAGCACCCAGGUCAGCCUGCCGUACCCAGAGCCGUACCGUGCCACGCCCUGCGCACGCUUGUACAAUGCCGCCAUAAACCUACUCGCUACGACGGAGUGGCUUGACGAGGAAAACAAGGACCGAGGACGGAGGCCAUACCAUGCCCGGCGACAUGGACUUCAACAAGACUAGGCAGCACCCGUACGCUCGCUCUCUUAUCCUUUCCAAUCUGUAAGGCCGUUCCCUUGUACUAUAAAAGGGGAUGGACCCCCACUGCUUCGACGGAGGUAAGAGAGACACCCUCUUACACUCUCAUGAUCACACACACACACACACUUAGCGCUAGCCUGAGCUCCUACCACUCUCCUCCACUGAGACGAGAACAAGGCUAGGACUCAGGCGCCCUUCUCUUCUACUCCUCUCAUUUUUACCCCCACUGCAAACUUUGAGCACAUGGGCUCAGGAAUAAAGUCGACCGACCGACCCCGACUGGACGUAGGGCGUGUUGCCGAAACUAGUAUACAUCUUGUGUCAUUGUGUGCUAGGCCACAUCCAAUCUAACGCACGAUAAAACUACAAAUAAUUACUUGUUGGCCAGAUUUCGCACUGACACCUCAUAUGACACAUUCUAUACAAAUAAAAACAGUGGAAGGUUACAGAAUGGUAAAUAAAAUUUUAGAUCAAACAUAAAUGCUAGGAUCAUAAAAUGUACUAUUAUUGCAUCCACUUUAUGGGUAGUGUAUCUGCCAUUCUUUUUCUUAUGAGCAACCUCCCAUAAUUCUAGCCAACCUUCCUUUUUUGGUUAUCUUCCUGCACAAUAGAGUAACUUAAGGCUCAUUACAGAUCUGAAUUAGAUGAUAGUGAAUAUAAUAAAUAACUUCGGAUGAAUAUAUUUCAUCAUCUCUUUUUUCAGCCUAGCAUGGCUUCUUCUCCUUGAUGUGUCUGUAUUCUUCUGUUCUUUUGCGAUUCUAGAGUUUGUCACAUACUUUUUGCAAAGGUAGAAGAGUGAUGAAGUGCUAUUACACUCAUUGCUUUCAAACUGCUAUAAAUGUUAAGUAAAAGGAUGUCACCUUAUGUUGUUCUCGGCACCAAAAUCCAACAAGAGCUUUCCAUUGAAGUUCAUUCACUUUGUUUUGUUCCUGUUUAUGAUUUCAUCUAGAGAUCUCUCUUCACGAUUGAAAUAUUAUUUCUUCAACUUUGAUUUGUUGGAUCGCCACCAAUUGUUAACAGUGUGUAGCACCGAGCCCCUUGUAAGAUUCAGCGUUUGGCGGGGUAACUGAAAGUGUACCUAUAAAGAGUAGAGGUAACUGUUACUGGAUGGAUGAAAAUUGAGGUACUUACUUGAACUAGUAAGAUUAAUUUUACCUCCACAUCCUUGAUUAUUUGUUGCUUGUGAGUAUUGAACAGAGCAUUGUCCCAUCUUUGAAUAUGUAAAGGAGCUAAUGAUGGUUUUUCUGCUAUCUGUCCAAGGUGCUGACCAAGAAUGGAGGUUGACCUUUUAUUUGGGACACCAUUUUCAUUAGUACCUACAAUUACCUUUCCUCCAUCUAAAUCCUCUAUAUUUGAAACUCUAAUACCCCCUAAAAGUUGUCUCACCUCUCCAUUUGGCCCUACAUAUAUGAAACAGAUUGAUUUGACACUGCAUUUGGAUAUGCAAGGAAAAAACAUGAAACUUACAUAUUAUCUUAAUGGGGGUUUGUGGAUGGUGGUAUGGCAGGUGGGCUAAUAAUCCAUCAAUAUCAGGAGGAUCCUGUAAGUCAUCAUCGUUCUUAUUUUCUACUAGGUUGUCAUGCCCAUUGUCAUUCUCUGCUAAGUUGUCCUGCCCAUUCUCAAUAGGUUCUGCGUCCUCUUCUUCUUCAAGGUUCAAGUUCCUUAACCUUCGAGGUGGUCUUACCAUGAUUUCUUCUGCAUAUACAUUGGGGGUACCAAGAUCAGCACUUACAGUUUAGUGCAUUAUCUCUCAGAAGGCAAAAGACAGCAGCACAAAUUGGUAGCAGUACAGAUGUGCAUAACAGGUUCACUAUGAUAGAAACCAAUAGCCAUUUAUGAAAUAUGAACAAAAGCUUACAUGAUAAAUGAUCAAAGUAUGUAUCAGCUACUUGUUCAUGUGCAUUAAAAAUAUAAGUUCUAGUCAACCAUUGAGAUACAAAUGUAGCUAGUUAGAAAUUUAGAAUGACAUUAUAUUCCAUGUCAGGAAGUAAUUCCAACUAAAUCUAUCAUAUACUAGUAAGUUCAGAGCAUAGGCGUGGCACAUACAUCUUGGAGUACAAGAUGCAAACAUAGAUUAGCAAGAUCCUAACUAACUAUCCUAGAUUUAUGUACAAGCAAGGCCAUCGUGGUCAACCAUAACAAGAUUAUCAUGUGUACAACAAGAAUAUCUUUAACAUAUGUCCUUCUCAUUUAUUUAUAUUUGAUUGAGCAAGAAUGAGAGCACAAGAUUCAAGUGUUGGGAGACCAAGUGAUCAGCUAAGAAGGGUAUCAAUGUCAAGAGAUGAUCAAGUGAUGAAAAUCACAUAGCCAUCUAAAAUUUUGUGGAGACAAUUUUAGUACAGUAGAACACAUCUUUGAAAAGAAAAACUUAAAGUGCAACAUUCUGCCCAUUUCAGUUGAUUCAAAGAAAAAUUCAUAUCUCUAAAACUACUUGUCCAAUUGCUCUUAAAUUUUUACAUUAGGUGUGCAAUUUCAUAAAUAACACAAUUGUAGGGAAACUUUAGACCAGAUUCCAAACCAAGACGACUAAAAAAAUCUAAAUUACUAUUGAAUGUCCGCUGCUGGUGCCCAGGGAGAGGAGGAGGGAGGAGCUGGGCCAUAUCGCAGGCAGGCAGGCAAAUUCUCUGCUACUUCCACAUCCAGCAGUCCAGUAAAUAAUUCAACGUGGAAUCAGUAAACAUAGAGGUGGGAUCAAAUGGGAUAGAUCAUCAGGAGAGGGGUGCAUUACAUACGUCCAGAAUGCUAACAUCUGAGCACCUUGAAGUUGGAGGCGUUGCCAUAACUCUGAGGAAGAGGAAGUCCGGGAGUCCUUGAGGCUUCAGCAGCUCCAAGACCUCGAUGGGAAGCUGGUCCGCAUGAUGGAGACUAAGGAGGAACCCUCGGGGGAAUGCGCGGUGGGGAGGCAUGUCGCGGCGGCGUCCGGGUGCGGGCUGUCCUGCACCGGCGCCCCUCCGAUGGCGAUGGGAUGCCGAAGGGAACAGGCGGCGGUAGGUGCAGAAGGGAACCGGUGGUGGGGAGGCACGUCGUGGCGGCGUUCGGGUGCGGGCUGUCCUGCACCGAUGCCCCUCCGAUGGUGACAAGACGCCGAAGGGAACUGGCGGUGGCGGGUGCAGAAGGGAACCGAGAUGGAGGAGGCAAAGGAAAGAACGGAGGAGAUGGGAAGGUUAAUGAGGAAGUGGGGAGGUUAAGAUGCAAUUUGUUCGUAGGAUGGGCGGGCCAUUGGGCGGUAAAUGGCUGCAGGCUGGCGCCAAGCCAAUUUUCAAGAAAAAUAAAAAAAUUAGGAAAAAAAGUGGAAAAAGGGUGAAGGGAAAGGAUCAAACCUAGAACGCCCAUCUAUAUCAGUGUCGCAUAAACCAUUGAGGUACUUGUUGUUUUGUUUUUCUUCUUGCUUCUCAACAUUGUUAUACAUAGUUUUGGGCCGGUGUGCGACUGACAUGUGGGUCCCACUCAUCGGCGCUGGGUUCUUAUGUUGUUCUAGUUUGGUUCAUGGUGAUCUUCUUUUUUUGUAUUUUGAUUCAUUGUAAAAAUGUUAACAUGUUUAGAUUUCAUAUUUGUUGUCCAAAUCAGGUGAUUCUUUUUCCUAAUUUCUCAAAAAACUUUUUUCUUUCCCAUGGUUUUAUUCCCAUGGUGUUACUCGACCCCUUGUACUAACAUUUUGGCAUUUGCUUUACUAUUUACUUACUCUACAAUGAAAUAACCUUUUUCGAAUGUGUCAAACGUACCAGGGGCAUAUAAAUAGGCAAGUUGAAUUCUUGGUUGAUCAAAUCUAUAUAUAUGGCAUAUCAUAUAGGUGUAUCAUGUUCAAUGUCACCUUCUUUGCCUGGAGGUAAUAUCAUGUGGGAGCUAAGAUAUUGUUUCGAUGCAAAUUAGUAAACGAGCACCUCAAGCACAUGAUUUAUCGCACAAACCAUUGAGCUACUUGUUCUUUUUGCAGCGGCAUGACAUCUUUACUAAGGUUUGGGUUUGUGACACCAUGAUACUAAACCAUUGUGGGAUGAAAACCAUAUAGGAUUGUCAUGUACAAAGCUAGUGAUACACUUAUCUUUGUGUUUGUGAUUGAAACCUAUAGCAUUCACUCAUGCACAUUGUGUUAGAACUUAAGAAAAUAUAUAUUGGAAUUGUAUAAACCUGACUUGGCAAAAAAUUAGGAAUAAAAAAUUGGGAAAAUUUAGGAACAAACUGAAAAAAAUGCAAAAAAAUUUGUGACAUCACUGAAUCAAACUGCGGCCUACAAGUUCCAGAGUAGCGGACAAACCAUUGAGCUAUCACCUGAUUUCGGUAAGUGAGAAGAAAUUUAUUCCUUUUAAUGGUUCUCUCUCCCGUUCCUCCACCUCCUCACCUAAACAGACUCCUCAGUUCCUCCGCCUCCUCCCCUCCCGUUCCUCAGUCCUAUCUGCCGCCUCCAUUCCUCAGUCCCGUCCGCCUCCUCUCUCCCGUCCUGGCCGCCUCCUCUCUCCGACAUCCUUUGCACUGCUCCACCAAGAUCCGCUCCGCUCCCCAUCCACAAAUCCCUUCCAAAUCCCUUCCCCAAGUUCCGCACCGCCUGGGCCAAGGAUGACGUACCUGCGCGAUGCUAGGGGUCGGUUUGCCCAGGCCAAGAAGGUCUGCAAGGUGGGGACGCCGUUGGAGCCCCUCACCGCGGGAGGAGGGGGCCGCCGUGGCGAGGGUUCUUCCUCACAUCGUCCCCAUUUGGACAACGGCGUGAAGAGGCGGCCGACCACGCGGUCAGUAGGAUGGUAUUGUUCUUACUUUUUAUAUGUUUUUAUUAUCUAUGUAUGCACCAAUCAUGACUAGACCUUAACUGUUAGUCUGUAAGUGAGAAGAAAUUGGAUAAUAGCAUGAUUUCAACUAUAUGGUUACUAGCAAUAAGCUAAAAUAAACUCUCUUAGAUAGUGGGUCUGGGGGCAAAUACUAGCGCUUGUAGUGCUCGAUUAGUGUGCUUUAGGUUUUUGUUCAGACAUGAGGACUGAUGUGCUAGUAAACUACUUGUUAAAGUUUUGAUGGGUGCUAUGUGCCUGUUGAACUAAUUAUAAUUAAAUGAUUGAAGUAUUCUAGCAUGCAUUGUCUGGUGCAUAUCCUGCUUUUGUUGAUGCCCUCUUGAGUUAUUGUAUUGCCAGGUCCAUUUCUUUCUUCAUGUAUGAGCUUGGUACUAAUUAAUGAUGACUUGUAUGUGGGAUAUCAAAACUGGAAUGUGAUGAGAACUACUGUUGGUUCAUGUAUCUAUAUCUUUGUAUUUGCGGGAACAAUAGGUGUUACACAGAGUCGGUGGUGUUUGGUUGCAAAGCAACCCUGGUACUGGGCAGCUCUAUCCAACCCCAGGCGCUCAAAGUCGAUGAUGUUUGGGGUUCUUGUGUGCUGAUCUUGGCUAAUAAAUAUUGAAAAAUUGCUAACAGAGUUGAAAAUAGACAAUGGUAGCUUGAAAAUCUGUCUGCGAAGUAUAUAUUUGUUCUAGGAAGUAUUUACGUUUUGUGAUAAUAUAUGAUCCCUAAUUCCAUAUAACCAUGUUAGUGGCGGAGGCACUUGAAACCUCACAUGCCUGUCUGAAACAACCUAUAUGCAGCUUGUCCUUUCUCACUAUAGUAGAAUAAUUUUACUGAUUGUGGAUUUGGAAAAUCCACACGUUAGGGAUUCAGGGAGUUGAAACUUAACAUAGUUAUCUGUUGUCUCAAACAACUUAUAUGCAAUUCUUCCUUUGGCAUUGUACUAGAAUUCCUUCACUUAUCACGAGUUUGAAAAUUACAUAUCAAAACCUGAGUGCUCUUAUAUCAUCAUGUUGCAUAUUGUUAGAUGCCUAGAGUUCAGUGAUAUUGGUAUUGAGCCAAAUAUCAUCGCAUUUGGUGGAAUUGUGUGAAUCAGUGAGAGUUUAGGCUGUAAGCACGUAUGUCUACACUACUUCUCCUAGUUGCAGUCUAUAUAUUUUACCUGUGUCUCUGAAAGCCAUGUUGAUAAAUCUCCUCCAGAUCUGAAUAAGAUGCCUCAGCUCCUAGUUAAGUAGAAACUCCUAAUUUGAUUGCAAAGAGUUAGCGAAAUUGAUUUUGUGAUAUAUUUUCCAUUACUAUUUAUAUUCCCUUGCAUUUUGGUUUUUCCAAUCAAGUAGAGAUAACAUGUUGAAGCUAUUACUAUUUCUUAUAGCACAUUCUUAUUUAUCUGGAGCUAUUUCUCUGUCUAUGGAUGUGUACAUGAGUUUGCUUUUCAUUUCAAAGCCAAGAUUUGUUCUUCUCUUAUUAGGUUUAAUAUAUGCCAGAUUUGGUGUGUGAAUUUUCUAGUUCGGCUAUUGGUAUGAUCUAUCUUGUCCAUCCAAGUCUCCCUGUCCACCUAUCCAAAUUAAUGAGUUCAUGUGCUGCUAGUCUUGAAACUUGACCUGAGUUAUUGUUUAAUGUAUUGCGGACUGAUUUGGAGUAGUUGAUACAAAUUUUCAAGAACUACAGGAAUCAGGAAAAUGAAAAGUACGAACAAGCAGUGUAGCAGCGAGAUGACAUGGCCAAGAAGCUUGAAAAAGUUAAACGGAAGGCAAAAAAGUUAAUUGAAGCAUUUAAGAAGCUAGACAAGAAGUAGGUUAAGAAGUUGGUUGACAGACUGUUAGUUUGGUCUGUACAUAAAUUAGAUAAUCCAUGCUGGAAUCUCUAGUGCUACUAGUAGCUGAACCUCUAGUGCUAUGAUCCCCAUCUAUCAUGGUCUUUUGGACUAGCCGUGUGCAUGGUGGAAUACCAGGAUAGGUCACAUUUUGUGCAAUCUGUUUGCCAUGGCCUUCAUGUUAGGAUUGCCAAGGAAGUCCAGGAGAAGAAAAUGUGGGUGUUUAUCCUCUGCCUGGUUGGACUGCUUGUUUGUCAAUGCUUUUGUAAUGGCUAAAGUGGAACAGAUGCUUUUGUAAUGCAAGAAGUGCUAGAUCAACUGUUGCUCAUGAUGUACUGUUCUUGUAAGAUGAUCUAUUGGUCUAGCUGACUUAAUCAUUUAGAAUGAUAAAUUAUUGUUUGAAUGUGCUUGUUGUUUCCACAAAAGGGCUUCACUUGACUGGUACCUUGCCAAAUUUGUUUCUAUUUUUUAUAUGUGAAUGUGGAUUUUAGUUUUUGCCAGGACUAUUUUUUAUCAUGUGAAUAUAUAGCAGUUAUUUCUAUUCAACUUUGUUAUCGAACAAAGGGCAUGGAAAAGGAGUGCAACUUGUCUACGCGCUGCUAUGAAGUUAUUUAUUCUACAAAUAUUCAUAGAACAUGAUAAUUUUCUCCCAAAUUUGUCUAGCAACUUUUGUUGAGCGGUGUAUUGAACCCACUGGAGUUUCCAUGGUGUGCUUAUGCCAUGCCAGGUAUUCUAUAUAAUUUUAGUGGUCACCAACCAGGACUUUGUCCUUGGGUUCCAAAAGCAGAAUUUUUCUAAAAGUUUUAACCAAAUCACAGGUGCAAGGUUAAGCAUGAGACGGAGUAGAGUAUAGAUUCGUUCCCAGUUUGCUUUUUACAUUACCUCUGGCAGCGCACCUAAAAGUACAUAAACCACUAGCGAUUAUGUGCAGAUGCAUUCAAAACAAUGGAAUAUCUUUGAGCAAUUGCUAUCUCCUUGUGGGGAAGGUACAACAUCAAACAUCACAUCACCAGAUUCAUUUGUAAGAAAUUACCAUACAUAUGAAGUUUUACAAAGAGUUCCAAUGGUAACAACUUGUAGAUUAUAUCUUGACAACAAGUCACAGAUUUAUCUUGGUGACAUACAUCUAACAUUGAAAUGAAGGUACAUAGACACUUGUGACCUAUUUUGAAUGAUCAGUGCAUGCAUGAAUGCAUCUAAGCUAGAUCAUAUUAUUCAUGACAUUACAUAUGUAGCAAUCACUGGUAGAGAAUUGGCCUUUAGUCCCGGUUGGUAGGGUGCAUAUCUCUCGAAAAUCCAUCCGGGAUAAACCAACCGGGACAAAAGGGGGGGGGUCUUUAGUCCCGGGUCUUUUAACCGGGAGUAAAGGACCCCCUUUAGUCCCGGUUGGAUUUCCCAACCGGGACUAAAUGGGUCCCCUUUAGUCCCGGCUCGAUUCCAACCGGGACUAAAUGGCGCUUGCAUGGCACUGCCGUGACGCCUGAAUUUUUCAUGCAUGCAUCAUGUAUACGUAGUACCGCGGCCCUUUUAAUUUGUUAACCUUGUAGUUGAGAUUUUUUUAGAACGAAAUCAACUAGUAUUUAAACGAAUGGGAUUUGUAAUUAUACAAUUACUAUAUAUAUACACAAUCCUUAUACACAAUUCAACUAGCUUAGUACAAAUCGAUCAUAAUUAGCGCGUAUUAUAUAUACAAAUAAAUCAAAGUAUCUUCCUACAAUCUUCCCGUCGUGGUGUUGCUGAUCGGAGUGUCUAAUUGUCGUCCAUCGUAAUAAAAUUCUCCUUUUGGAUUUACCACCUCGUCCAUUAUGAAUCCAAUGAGACCUUCACAUAUUGCCGCUACUCUUUCUUCCUUCAAGAGUCCUUGUUGAAUAUUUAACAUCUAUAAUUUGGAAAUUUGUGAAUGUUACAUGAACAAAUACAUAUAAGGAGCUAGAAAAUAAUUAACUAGUAAUAUAUUUAUUUUACGUACUUUAAAGUUGUGCGGCGUCAUUCUUCGGUCCCUUGGGUCCCAAAAAACUGUGCAUGUGCUCACAGAUGUAGUAGCCACAUAGAUUAUUCCCGGGUUCCUGUCUUAAGCACUUCAGUGCGGAAAAAAUAAGUUAUGAAAUAUUCAUGUUAUACAAUGUAAUAAAUGUGCAGACUGCAUACGUACCGGGAAGUCUGUGUUCCAUGUAAGAUUUUCUUUGAAUGGACCUUUGUGUGUCCUUAUGAAUUGUUUCCAUGCGCUGCGGAUUAGAAUAAUGAAUGACAUAGUGUAACAGGGAUAAAAUUUAGGAAAUAAAUUUUUGCAUAGAGAUAAAGGUCCAGAAUUAUUACAAGCCUAGCAUGUCUUACAAUUCUUGGUAGUCCACCGGAUCUUUCCUUAACGAAUCAAAGACAGUGACAUGGCUUCUUUCAGGCUCAAUUAUAAUAAGGAUCCAGUGGAAGCUGCGUGCGUAAAAUGUUCAUGCAUAUUAGAGCUAACUAACAUGUAGAGAUAAGGAAAAAGACAUCGAAAGUAGACGGUAUACACACACUUACUUGAAGUUGUAUGGAAGUAGUAUGAAAUCCUUGAAUGUUUGUUUGUGUAGGAAAUUGUAUAUUUCCGCAAAGGUUUUUUCCGGCGCUAAUUGUAUCUGUUGUUGGUUAACUACAGAUGGAUCCAUGAAGCCUAUAUGUAGGUACGCCUCUCGGUGGCAUGUCUGAAUUAGCAUCCUACAUGAAAUGGAAGAUGAAGUUAGUACGAUGACGCACGCCAAAAUUUACAUGUAGAGAUAAAUGGACACUUACAGAAUCCAAGCGCUGAUCAGAGAGACGUCCAGGGCAUCAUGAUGGUACACUUCGUAUAUAUCCUUGAAGUCUAGCCACAGCACUUUCUCCCCUUCACCGUGAAAAUCUAUCGGUUUUACCUUCAUGCCGAUCAUCUCCCUCAAGUCGGCGGAUGCCAUCAUGUACCAUUGAUGGAAUUCGUACAUCUUUGUUGAUAGCUUCCGUACCAAUGAAGGCUUUACUAGAGGUUUGCCUAGCUCAUAAGGCCACUUCAGCUUAGGGGGCGGUGCAGUUGGCGUCUCAACUUGCCCUAUGCAUUCAUCAAGUCCCAGACCUGUUUCUUCCAUGAACUUCAAUACAUUUGCUUGUUGAUCCAAGGGCAUUGCUUUUACCCGUUGAGCAUCUUUUUUUGAUAAAUGGCUGAGGUCGGGGACUGGACCGCUGGAGGAUGAUUUUCCUUUCCUUUUAUCCUUUUCAUCAGCCUUUACUAGAGCCCGUUCAUAGUUUGACAAGAGUGGAAUCCUUUUCUUGGCUCCUUCUUCCAUCCUGAUAAAAAAGUUUAAAUCUCGCCGACUUACUGGCGGUGGCUCCAUCUCCCUUGCCUUUUUUAAUUCGGCUUGUUUCUUGAACCACUCACUGGCCUCUCGUUGGAUUUCUGCCCACUGUUCUUCAUGAGACAUUGCCUCCCAGCGUUCCUUACGAGUCACUUCAGGCUCCUUUGUUUUCUUCUUUCUCUGUCUUUGCUUGGGAGGCGGUGCUCGUGACUUCUUUAGUGGUGUUGCAGGUUCCUUCAAGGGGGCCGCUCUUGGUGCCGGCGACGGUGAUCGGGGAGGGGUGUUGUUAUUGUCGUCGUCGCUCCCAGCACCAGGAUGUGGUGGAGAUGGAGACCUUGAUAUAGAUGGAAGGCACGGUCCUGGAGCAGGAGAUGCCGGUCUCGAGGUAUGAGGAGAAGGUCGCUGCUGGGGAUCUACGGGGAGCGGUCUUGAGGUCUGAGGAGAUGGCUCCGUGCUGGGAAUAAUGAUGUAGCGUUUCUUCCAUAGAAUGAUCCCAUGAAGCGCAUCUGCCAAUGUCUUUUCCCCGUCGCCUCCCGGGAAGUCGAGCUCUAGACCUUCAUACUGGGGAUCAACUAUUUGCUCGACGUAGACGCUGGCGUAGCCUGUUGGAAUGUCCAUGCCAUGACUGCUCUGCCCUGCCAGGGUUGCUAACGCACUCCCAUACGCUACCUGUACAUAUAGCAGAAGUAAACAAGUUGAACUCCGAUCUCGAGGCCUGGAUCAAUUGACAAGAUUGCAUAAAUAUUAUGUAUAAGUAUACCUUAAUAGUGAGGUUGCCGACCGGUGCAUGCAACUCACAUGAGGUCCAUUGCGUGAUGGCAUCCACGGGGAACCGUUGCUCCGCCACGGGUAACCUGGGCGUCUGCGCAUCGGGGACCCCUGUAGAAGCACAACUGCUCCCGAGGCGUUGAGAAGGGCUGGCGGUGUUAGGAUUCGGCAGUGCUCCAGAUUGGGCCAACUCCGCAACUGCGUCGGCCACCCGCCGAUUGAUUUCAUCCAUCAUUCUUUGUUCUAGCAUCUGCCGCCAGCUCUCCUCAAUCUGUUCCUUUCUUCGCUUCCGGCUUCUGUAAGAGGCGCUGUCACCUCAGAAAGCGAACUUCCACGGAACCACCCCGAACCCUCAGCAAUGUCCUGGGUGCUCUGGAUUACCGAGGGCCAAUGUGAGCUCAUCAUUUUCUCGGUCCACCUUCAACCUCCCAGCCUUGGAGUCUUCAAUGUUCUUCAUGAGAUGUUCGGCCUUCUCACGUAUUGUGUCAUUGAAAAUCAACGUCCCAUCCUCUUGGCUUAGGGAGCCUCCAUGAGCGUAGUACCAGUUCUUUGAUCGUUCGGGCCAUUCAAUAGUUGCAGGUACGAUUCCCCGUUCGAUCAGAUCUUGUUCCAUCUUCCUCCACUUGGGAAUUGCUGAGCCAUACCCACCUCGCCCCAAAUGAUGGUGGUAGCCCUUCUGACUAGCAUUUGCUGUGUUGGUCGUGAUCUUUUUCACACCUUCUUCACUCCUCUUGUAUUCAACAAAUGCAUCCCAGUGGUCCCUCAACUUUGGCCACGCGUUGAAGUCUGGAGUUUUGCCCUUCUUGAUGUAGUGGGUAUCCAGCAUCUUCUUCAAUGUCUGGAAUUGAGUAGCCAUCUUCUUAAGCGUACACGCUUUGACAUCCUUCUCACUAUAUCCUUCGGGGAAUGUGAAAUGUCUCUUCACGUCUUCCCACAGCAUAUUCUUUUCUGUCUCUGGAAGGGCGUACGGAUUAGUGCUUCUGCCCUUCCAUUCUCUGAUGCUGAUAGGCACGUUGUCCCGGACGAUUGCCCCGAUUUGACUCACGUACUUCUUUGCUACUUUCUCGGGAGCAACCGGCCUGCCCUCUUCUGUAACUUCGGUGAUGACAAGCCUCCCUUCCAUCACCUUUGUACGACCUCGGGUCUUCUGCCCUUGUGUCGAUCCGGAGGGCUAAUAGUUCAAGAUUCGUUAAUUAGUACGUAGUAGUAACGGUGGCGUGAAACAAUACAAGAAUGGUUGUAUAUACCUCACCGGAACCUUCCGCCAGGGCAAGUUGUUGCUGCGGCUGUUGCUCUUCAUUCCCAUCGGCGGACAUGUUGAGGAACAUGUCCGCUUGGGUGCCCUCUUCAUCCGUGUAUGAUAGUGGAACGUUGUCGCCACUACCAUCACCAGCGAUUAUCUGCUCCAUGAUAUACCUUGCGGUCUCAUCGUCUGCCAUUUCAACUAUUGAUGGAAACAUACAUGGAAUCAUACAUGACAGUCAUAGAAAUCAUCUUACUACAAAUUUGUACAAAGUCCUACAAAGUCCGGAAUCAUACAUGUAUAUAAUGAAAUCAUAAAAUAACAUGAAUCGUACAAAGUCUGGAAUAUUUAUACAAAUUUCUAUGAAUUUUGACAAAUUUCUACAAAUUUCUACAAAUUUCUAUGAAUUUCUACAAAUUUCUACAAAUUUCUACGAAUUUCUACAAAUUUCUACGAAUUUCUACGAAUUUCUAUGAAUUUCUACAAAUUUCUACAAAUUUCUACGAAUUUCUACGAAUUUCUACGAAUUUCUACGAAUUUGUAUGAAUUUCUACGAAUUUUUAUGAAUUUCUAGAAAUUUCUACGAAUUUCUAUGAAUUUCUACAAAUUUCUACGAAUUUUGAUGAAUUUCUACGAAUUUUGACGAAUUUGUAACAAUAUCCACGUGCGGUGCCUAGGUUGUGACGGCGGCAAUCAGGGCGGCGGAGGCGGGACGGCGACGGUCAGGGCGGCGGUACGGCGGAGGCGGGAACGGUUCACCGGAACCACGGGCGGUGAUGGGACGGCGGAGGCGGUGACGGUACGGCGGAGGCGGGGACGGUUCACCGGAACUAGGUUGUGACGGGCGGCGGGACGGCGGCGAUCACGGCGGCGGGACGGCGGAUUCCACGGCGGUGCAUCCUACGAAUUUCUAACUUCAUUUUCUCUGUAUCAACUCUAACUUAACAAACUAACUAGAAAUCUAACUUAACAAACUAACUAGAAAUCUAACUUAACAAACUAACUAGAAAUCUAAAAAUCUAACUUAACAAAAUUAGAAAUCUAAAAAUCUAACUUAACAAAAUUAGAAAUCUAUCUAAAAAUAAAACUUAAUUUUCUAACUAAAAAAGAAAACCCUCCCGGCGGCGCUGCCGGCCGGUGCGGCAGCGAACCUCUCGCGCGCGGGGCGGCGGCUGGGGCGGCGGGACGGCGGCGGCCGGGGCGGCGAGGACGGCAGCUGCCGAGGCGACGAGCACGACGGCGGCCGAGGCGACGACGACGGCGGCGGCGUAGGCGGAACGGCGACGAGACGGCGACGAGGGGCGACGAGGAUGGAGCCGGCGAUGAGGAUGUGGAGCCGGUGGCCGGAGGCGACGAGGUGGCCGGGGGCCGGGCGCGUCGACGGACGAGGAGGGGAUCGAGGCGGGCCGGCCGGGGGACGACGACGGCGCAAUGGGGGACGUCGACGGCGCAAUGGGGGACGACGACGGCGGCGGCCGGCGAGGGAGGCGGACGGGCGGCGACGGCGGAGAACGCGCGGGACUUGGCGAAAAUUUGGCUAAGUGUGUAACUGGCGGGGGGUAGAAGGGAGUACAGUGCCUUUUAACCCCCCCCUUUAUCCCGGUUCGUAAUGGCACCCGGGACAAAAGGGUGCCCUUGUCCCGGGUGCCAUUACGAACCGGGAUAAAGGGGGGGGUUAAAAGGCACUGUACUCCCUUCUACGCCGCCGCCAGUUACACACUUAGCCAAAUUUUCGCCGAGUCCCGCGCGUUCUCCGCCGUCGCCGCCCGUCCGCCUCCCUCGCCGGCCGCCGCCGUCGUCGUCCCCCAUUGCGCCGUCGACGUCCCCCAUUGCGCCGUCGUCGUCCCCCGGGCCGGCCCGCCUCGAUCCCCUCUCGUCCGUCGACGCGCCGGGCCCCCGGUCACUCGUCGUCUCCGGCACGGCUCACAUCUCAUCGCGGNNNNNNNNNNNNNNNNNNNNNNNNNNNNNNNNNNNNNNNNNNNNNNNNNNNNNNNNNNNNNNNNNNNNNNNNNNNNNNNNNNNNNNNNNNNNNNNNNNNNCAAAAUCUGUGAAGGUUUUGUUUUUCAUCCUGAAAUGCAGUGAAAAGGUCAAAUAAAAUCCAUUUCCAAAAAACAGGCGGGAGAAGAAAAAUAGGAAAAAACACCUUUUGUCUCGGGGUGCUAACAGCAACCGGGACAAAAGGCCCCCCCUUUUAUCCCGGUUGCAAACGGCAACCGGGAUAAAAGGGUACGUUCGGGCGGGAGACGAAACGUACCCUUUUAUCCCGGUUGCCGUUUGCAACCGGGAUAAAAGGGGGGCCUUUUGUCCCGGUUGCUGUUAGCACCCGAGACAAAAGGUGUUUUUUCCUAUUUUUCUUCUCCCGCCUGUUUUUUGGAAAUGGAUUUUAUUUGACCUUUUCACUGCAUUUCAGGAUGAAAAACAAAACCUUCACAGAUUUUGUACAUGCAAAAAUAUAUUUAAUUAACGAGUAAAUUGACAAUAAGUAUGAAUUAAUCAUUAAUUCUAUACCAGUUCAUUUAGCCUGUAAAAUAUUUAUUUUACUGCAUUGCUGUGAUCAAGAAAUUAUUCAAUUAAAUUAUUUCAAUGCGCAGAAAAAUCCAUGUUAGUAUGCGGUUAACAAUGUUCAUGUUUAUCUAAAAAAUCUUCACCUACCAAAUUUAAUAACACAUGAAAUCAUACAUAGGGUAAAUUACAAAUUGUAUCAAUUAAUACACAAAGGUCAUGUAAAUUUAACGCAUUACAAUACAACGUUGUAAAAUUUCUUCUUCACGAAAGUUCCUUGAUCAUGAUCGCGGCGUAAGUACGGAGCCUCUUCUUUGGAUAGCAGGAUGCUUGGAUCAACUUCAACGGCGAAUGGAGGCAUGCCAUCAAACUGAUCAUAAUCAUCUGAUAGGUCUGUUUUAUCCUCGACUCCCACGAUUUUUCUUUUACCUGGAAGAACUAUGUGACACUUUGGCUCCCAUGUCUCUUCUGUAUUCCUCUUGGGUUUGCUGCACAUGUCCUUCACAUAGAACACCUGAUGCACAUCAUUGGCAAGUACGAAUGGGUCAUCACUGUAUCCAGUCUUGCUCAGAUCUACUAUUGUCAUUCCGUACUGAUCUUUGGUGACGGCAGUUAGCUUCACCCAAUUGCAAAGAAAUAGAGGGAUGUACAGCGGUCCGUAUUCGAGUUCCCAUAUCUCCUGUAUGAAACCAUAAUACGACUCCUUGCUAUUAUUUCUGUCCAUGGCAUCUAUGCGGACACCACUAUUCUGGUUCGUGCUUUUCUGGUCCUGGGCUCUCGUGUAAAAUGUGUAACCAUUUAUCUCAUAGCCUUGGAAUUUGACGAUUGUGGUAGCAGGUCCCCUGGCUAACCAGGCAAGCUGUGGGUGAAUCUCAGAGUUACCCAUAAGUUGUUGGCGCAACCAGGAGGGAAAAGUUUCCAUGUGAUGACGGGUAAGCCAAGCAUCGGAUUUGGACGGGUUUUUGGAAGCUACCAUCUGCCUGUGCUGCUCGAUAUACGGAGACACAAAGGAUGACUGUUGUAGAACAGUGUAGUGUGCCUUGUCGAACAAAUCAGUAUCAUUGCUCAAACUUCAUUUCCUUCCAAGGGUGCCUAUUCCUCGGAGCCUCCCCUCGUGGCGUGAAGUUGGAACCCCAAUCGAGUCAAUUGAAUCAAUAAAAUCAACACAAAACUCGAUCACCUCCUCUGUUCCAUAUCCCUUGGCGAUGCUUCCUUCUGGACGGGCACAAUUAAGAACAUAGUUUUUUAGGACUGCCAUGAACCUCUCGAAAGGCCACAUAUUGUGCAGGUAUACAGGUCCGAGAAUACCAAUCUCUUUUACUAGGUGAACCAGUAAGUGCGUCAUAAUAUUGAAGAAGGAUGGUGGAAAUAACAACUCAAAACUGACAAGACAUUGCACCACAUCAUUCUGUAGCUUUGAUAGCUUGGAUGGAUCGAUUGCCUUCUACGAAAUCGCAUUGAGAAACGCGCAUAGCUUUACGAGCGGCAACCGGACAUUUUCUGGUAGAACACCCCUCAGUGCAACCGGAAGCAACUGGGUCAUCAACAUGUGGCAGUCAUGAGCCUUGAGAUUUGUAAACUUCUUUUGUUUCAUAUUUAUUAUUCCCUUUAUAUUCGAGAAGUACCCAGACGGGACCUUCAUACUAUUCAAGCAUUCAAACAUGCUAUCCUUCUCUUCCUUGCUGAGAGUGUAACUGGCAGGACGUAAGUAGUGCUGUCCAUUAUCUCUCUUUUCCGGAUGUAGGUCAUCUCGUUGCCCCAUGGCUUUCAGGUCCUGUCGUGCUUCCAAUGUAUCUUUUGAGGUUCCAUAAACACCCAUGAAGCCUAGCACGUUCACGCAAAGAUUCUUCGUCAGGUGCAUCACGUCUAUUGCGUUGCGAACCUCUAGGAUUUCCCAAUAAGGUAGCUCCCAAAAUAUUGACUUUUUCUUCCACAUGGGUGCAUGCCCGUUAUCGUCGUUCAGAACAGGUUGGCUACCAAGUCCCUUUCCGAAGACUACAUAUACAUCCUUCAUCAUCUCGAACACACGCUUUCCAUUACGGUGUGCAGGUUUUUUACGAUGGUCUGGCGCACCUUUGAAAUGCAUCCCGCUCUUUCUCAGCUGGUGGUGAGCAGGGAGAAAUCGACGAUGACCCAUAUAGACGACCUUCUUACAGUGCUUCAAGUACAUGCUGUCUGUGUCGUCUAAACAGUGGGUGCAUACCCGAUAUCCCUUAUUUGUCUGUCCUGAAAGGUUACUCAAUGCAGGCCAAUCGUUGAUGGUUACGAACAACAGUGCUCGUAGAUUAAAGAUCUCUUGUCUAUCCUCAUCCCACACACGUACACCUUCUUCCUUCCAGAGCUGUAAAAGGUCAUCAACCAACGGCCUUAGGUACACGUCAAUGUCGUUGCCGGGUUGUUUUGGGCCUUGGAUAAGCGCCGGCAUCAUAAUGAACUUCCGCUUCAUGCACAGCCAAGGAGGAAGGUUGAACAUACAAAGGGUCACAGGCCAAGUACUAUGGCCACUACUCAACUCACCGAAUGGAUUGAAUCCAUCAGUGCUUAAACCAAACCUUAUGUUCCUUGCUUCACUUUCAAAGUCUGGGAAUGUUCUAUCAAUUGAUCUCCACUGUGCCCCAUCUGCGGGGUGUCUCAGCAUCUCAUCUUCCUUACGGUCUUCUUUGUGCCAUCGCAUCAACUUAGCAUUCGCCUUGUUCCUGAACAAGCGCUUCAAGCGUGGUAUUAUAGGGAAAUACCACAUCACCUUCGCGGGAACUCUCUUCUUGGGAGACUGCCCCUCGACAUCACCAGGAUCAUCUCGCCUGAUCUUAUACCGCAGGGCUUCGCAGACGGGACAAGCAUCCAAUUUCUCGUAUUCAUCACCACGAUAGAGGAUACAGUCAUUAGGGCAUGCGUGUAUCUUCUGAACAUCCAAUCCGAGAGGGCAAAUAAUCUGUUUAGCUUCAUAUGUUGUGGACGGUAAUUCAUUAUUCUCGGGGAGAAUCUUCUUGACAAUGUUCAACAUCCCCUGAAAUGCCUUAUCGGACACACCAUUUUUUGCCUUCCAUUGCACAAAUUCUAGUGUCGUACCUAGUUUUUUAUGGCCCUGCUGGCAACCUGGGUACAACAAUUUUUGGUGAUUAUCUAUCAUGCGCUGCAACUUUGCUGCUUCCUUCUCAGUUUCGCAAUCUCUGUAUGCAUCUCGUAUCACCUGACCAAGGUCAUCAGUAGGGUCAUUUUCUGCAAACUCAUCUUCAUCAGCCUCGCCUAUUGUAGUACCUGCAAAAGCUUGGCCUGCAACCCAGUCCGGAAUGGUGUCAUCUUCCUCCUCCUCCUCGCCAUCUUCCAUUACAACCCCUAGUUCACCGUGCUUGGUCCAAACCAAAUAGUUAGGCAUGAAACCGUAUUUAAACAAGUGGCUGUGAAUAGUCCCCCAGGAAUCCUUUGAAUACUCCUUCCUGUUAUUGCAUUGGAAGCAUGGACAACAUACGAACCCAUUCUCUGGCUUGUUCGCUUUUGCCACUUCGAGAAAAUAAUGCAAGCCAUCAAUAAACGCCUUGCUCCGCCUGUCUGCAUUAUACAUCCAUUGCCGGUCCAUCUGCAUCGUAUUACGCAUGAAAAUGGAUUACACUUGACAAUGGAUUACGCGUGAAAAUCGAUUAAAGAUCCAAACAACAUGGUACAAUACAACAACAUGAAGAUCCAAAUACACAUAUUUAAAUUAAAGUCCCAAACAACAUGAUACAAUACAACAAGCCAUCCACUGGUUAUUAUCAAGGAGGACUUUAAGCAUCCUUGGACGGUGAAGACGAAGGUUCCGCUGACCCAACCUCAUCCUUAGGUUUAUUUGUGCCGCCUGAAACGGUAGUACUAAGUGGACGUGAAACACCCGGGACUGAGGGUGGAGCAUAACGACCACCAAAAGGAGGUUCCUGACCCGCGGCAACAGCUUCUUCAUGACGUUGCUGCAAAUAACGAAGCAUUGCUUUUUCCAGCGCGCUCUUUUUCUUCGGCUUAUGCUGAGGGCCAACUAUGAUUGGAACCUUGCCAUAAUAGGAACCACGAUUGCCUCCACCAUCGCCACUUCCUCCAGUAGCAGAAGCCAUCUAUGUACAAAAAUUAUUAUCUUAACACUGCAUAAGUUGUUCAACUUGAAGACCGUGAUCAUCUCGUGAGGAUGUCCUCAACUGGGCGGCACCGGUAUUCGUCAUGAAAGAGGUUAGAUGCUACGGAAAAGGGGAUACGGUCACGAUGUCCGUAUCCACUCUUUCUCGUAGAAUCGAACCUCCUUCUUGACAUACGUUGCUCGGCGGAAAACAUCCUCGGAGAGAUGAACACGAUAUGCAAGUUCAACAAGUAGCAGAAGUCAUCUAUGUACAAAAAUUCUUUCCUUACCACUACAGAAGUUGUUGAACUUGAAGACCGUGUUCAUUUUGCGAGAAUGUCCUCAGCUGGGUGGCACCGCACUUCGUCAUGAAAGAGGUUAGAUGCUACGGAAAAGGGGACACGGUCACGAUGUCCGUAUCCACUCUUUCUCGUAGAAUCGAACCUCCUUCUUGACAUAUGUUGCUACUCGGCGGAGAACAUCGUAGCAGAAAUGAACACGGUAUGCAAGUUCAACAAGUAGCAGAAGUCAUCUAUGUACAAAAAUUCUUUCCUUACCACUACAGAAGUUGUUGAACUUGAAGACCGUGUUCAUUUCGCGAGGAUGUCCUCAGCUGGGCGGCACCGCACUUCGUCAUGAAAGAGGUUAGAUGCUACGGAAAAGGGGACACGGUCACGAUGUCUGUAUCCACUCUUUCUCGUAGAAUCGAACCUCCUUCUUGACAUACGUUGCUGCUCGGCGGAGAACAUUCUCGCCGAAAUGAACACGGUAUACAAGUUCAACAAGUAUAUGGAUUUAAAAAACCAUAUUGAAUUUGAUAAGAUAAACCGUCUAGACAGGGUAGCAUCAUUUUUAAACCACUGCAAUAAUGCAUACUAUAUAUGACACAUCAAUCUCCCUCACAUUCUAGCUCAAAAUACCUCUCCAUUUUUCUACUUCAUCAUCACAUUGUAGCAAAUAAUCUUUCCAUCUCCAAAGCAUAAAUCAAAGCAUAACACGAGGAUGAAGUAGCAAACCUUCGCAACACUUGUGUUGGCUGAGUCAAAUUCCCACGAAAAUGAGGGAAAAAAUUUCGGGCAGCACCUCCCUUGCUUUGGCACCACCGGAGAGUAGGUGAAGCUCAGCUCUAUAUCAAUGUGCUGGACUGGCUCGGGCUGGAGGAAGAAGAAAGUCUCUGUCUCGGGAUAUAGUGGGGGAUGAGUUUUUAUCCCGGUUAAAAACUCCAACCGAGACAAAAGGGAACACCUUUUGUCCCGGUUGGAAGUUUAGUCCCGGUUGGAUCCUCCAACCGGGAUAAAAGGGACACCCUUUUAUCCCGGUUGGAGGCACCAACCGGGACUAACCUUUUUAUCCCGGUUGGUGCCUCCUUUUAUCCCGGUUGGAUCCUCCAACCGGGAUAAAAGGGUCCCGCCACCGACGCCCCCCAGCUAGCCGUUGCAACCGGGACUAAAGGGGGGCCUUUAGUCCCGGUUGCAAUUACCAACCGGGAGUAAUGCUCCCCUCCAAUUUUCCCUACCCCGGCGCACCCCCUUUUGUCCCGGGCCAACUUUAAACCGGGACAAAAGGGGUCGGAUCGAAAGCCAAUUCUCUACUAGUGAAUCAACCAUGGUUUUGGCUGUUGGGGACAUUCCCUAGUAGCACUAACCCCAUGGACACGACUAAGCAAGGAGAUAACCCAUCCUUAAAUUGUUGAUCAGGCCUGUUAAAUUCAGGUAACCUGGCAGCAUUCAAAACACCCAAAAAAAGCCCCACAACAGAAGACUAUAUUGUUCUAAUCUAUUUCAUCAGCCAACAAUUGAGCACCCAUGUCAAAAUUAUCACGUGGAAUAACUCUUACCACGGUGCACCAUGCUUCAGCUUUUGGAUCUUGGACAUAAAAGACCUGCUACACUUAUGAAGAGAAAACAAAAGGAUCAUGCUCUAAUUUUUAUCUUGUGUGUAUCUUUGAGAAAAAAUCACAAGGGUGAAUCCAAACUCAUCUUGUCGUAACCCAUCUUGAUGAUGAACAUCAUACCAUUCGCCUUUGAAAAGCACUACCUUGUACUCUGCAUAUGACAAUUCAAUUAUAUCUGACAAUCUGUCAUAAUAAUUCACACCAUCAUGUGCGAUGUUCACUAUGCCACUAUUUUGUGUCAAGCAUGCAGCCUCACAGCUCAACAUCAUACCAUUCACCUUUGAAAAGCACUACCUUGUACUCUGCAUAUGACAAUUCAAUUAAAUCUGAUAAUCUGCUAUAAUAAUUCACACCAUCAUGUGCGUUGUUCACUAUGCCAGUAUUUUGUGUCAAGCGUGUAGCCUCACGGCUCAUAGUGUGGAACCUGAAACCAUUAAUAUUGUAACCAUUGCGUCUCACACUACAUUUGCUAGGUUUUGCAGCCAAUGCUCUAACCUUUGCCGUGAUGCUUGUUCCAUCCCCUAGGAUAACCUGUUUCUAUAAGGAAUUAUAUUAGAUCCAUUCCAUCUAUUAAUGGUAUGGCUAAAAUGCAUCAAUUUAAGAUUUGCACACCUUUUGCUCCAACCAAUCAGGAAUUCAAUGGAACAAGGUGUCAAAUUAGAUGAUGGACCCAUUUUGCUUUUCUCCUCUUCCAAGAAUUCUCUACAACAAUCGAAUCAGUGUCAUGUCAUCAAGUUACUACAAACAUAAAUUAAACAUAACAGGGAGCACUAUAUGAACAAACCUGCAUAAGUCCUCAAGUUCAUCGCAAUGUCGCAAGACAUAUCGAUGCGCCUGAACAAGAAGAUGCUUAUCAAGGUUCACACCAAUACACUUUCUAAUUGGUUCACCAGCACUAUCAAACAAGUACAUGCCUUUUUUUCAUCAGAAGGUUCAGGAUUUCUAGAUGGCCUAGUAAAAUGUGUAGUUCCUUCUAAAAAUCUCGAACAAAAGUUCAGGCACUCCUCCAUGCAAUAUCCUUCAGCAAUUGAACCUUCUACGUGAGCUCUAUUCUUCACAAGUGCCUUUAGCUGAACAAAAAAUCUAUAUGCAAUUAUUGACAGUGCAAAUUAAAUAUAGUUGCAUACCUCUCCAUGGGGUACAUCCACCGAUACUGAACAGGGCCACCAAGUUUAACUUCUUCUACCAAAUGCACCAUCAAAUGCACGCUCAUAGUAAAGAAUGAUGGCAGGAAAGUUCUCUCCAUAUCACAUAGUGUCAUCACAAUACUCUCUUGAAGCUUUACCAACUCAUCCACAUCUAUCACCUUGGAGCACAACAUCUUGAAGAAAUUAGAUAAUUCAACCACUAUCGUCAUGACAUCUUUGCUAGGGUAACAGGAUCGGAGCGCCACUAGAAGAAUGUCAUGUAGUAAAACAUGAUUGUCAUGACUCUUUAGUCCACUCAAUGUAAAGUCUUUCGUGUUCACACACCUAGAUAUGUUUGAUGCAUAUCCAUCAGGAGUCCUAAGGUUUUUAAUUACUGAGCAAAUGAUCUCCUUUUUCUCUCUAAACAUGGUAAAAGGUGCACAGGAAGCGACUGCUUUCCUUCAUUGUCUACAACAGGAUGAAGAUCCUCUCGAAUUCCAAGUUCAUUUAAAUCUAGUCGUGCAUUAAGGUCAUCCUUUGUUUUAUGACAAAUAGCCAAAAAAGUCAAGAUAAAGUUGUCACUCACAUUUUUCUCUAAGUGCAUUAUGUCUAGAUUGUGUCUUAAUCUAUUGUGUUCCCAAUAUGGUAUCUGUAAGAAAAUUGACCUCUUUUUCAACCAAUCUUUAGGAUUCUUCUCUUCCUUAGCACCACUCCCAUCUGACUCCUUAUUUUGUCCUUUUAUUUUACGCUUGCAUUUCGUAGCACUUUUAACCGCCACUUCCUUAUUCUUGCCUUUCUUGUUGUCCUUCUUUAUUGUGCACACCUUUUUCCCUAGCACAAACUCUUUCCCUUCUAACAUUGUAAGAACAGUAGUGGCACUCAUUGUUUUAGGUGCAAGUUCAGUCUCUAUCGAGCCAUCAAACUACAUCCUUUGCCUUCGGUAUCUAUGAUUUUAAGUCAGCCAUCGACAAUGACCCAUAUAGCACAACUUUUUACCAUUCUUCAAGCGAACUGAUUUUGUUGUUGGACCACAAGACGGACAUGCACAUGUACCACCUGUGCUCCAUCCAUAUAGGUAAGCUAAUGCUGGAAAAUCAUUUAUAGUCCACAAUAGUGCAGCUCGGAGAGGGAAUUCCUUUUUCGAAGAGGCAUCAAAUGUUUCAACUCCAUCCCACAACAGUAAAAGCUCAUCGAUCAGGGGGCUGCAAAUAUACGUCCACAUCAUUACCUGGAGAAUCUGGUCUAGGGAUGAUCAUUUAUAACAUAAAAUAUGUUUGCUUCAUGCAGAUCAAAGGUGGUAGGUUGUAAGGAACGAGCAUUACUGACCAUAUACUGUGCUUUAAAUUCUGAUUCCCAAAGGGGUUAAAUCCAUCACUUGCAAGACCAAGGCGUAAACUACGAGCAUCUUUUGCGAAUUUAUGAUGCCUAGCAUUGAAGUCUUUCCAAGCUUCACCAUCUGCGGGAUGUCGUAGUUUUCCAUCUUUCGUAUGGCCCUCCUCAUGCCAUCGCAUAUCAUCUGAAGUUUUGGUAGUUGAAAAUAACCUUUGGAUUCUAGGUAUCAAUGGAAAAUACUGCAACACUUUUGUUGGUUUCCUUUUCCCCUUAGGUUUAGUUGAUGAGGCAUUCUCCUUAACAUCUUUCCAACGAGAGCUCUCACACACAUAGCAAACAUCCUUUUUGGCAUGUUCACCUCGAAAUAGCAUGCAAUCUUUGGGGUAAGCAUGGAUUUUCAUAGAAUCAAGACCUAAUCCAUGAAUGAUCUUCUUCGCUUCAUAAUAUGUCUUAGGUAGAUUUGCUUCAAGAGGUAGCGCAGAAGAUAGUAGUCCCAGUAGUGCUCCAAACAAUUCUUGUGAGCAACCAUUUAAGCACUUCAAGUGAUAUAAGUGCACCAAAAAUGACAGCCUUGAGUAUUUACAACUAGGGUAUAACCUUACAUGUGCAUCCUUCAAGAACCUUCCAUAUAUAUUCCGAUCCCUCCCCGAAAAAUCACCUUGAGCUGGAUUUACAAUAUCCUCCGGGCCAUUAUGUUCCAUAUUUGCAAAUCCUGACUGAAAAUCACCUGCUUCGCCUUGAGGCAAACCUUCAGUCCUACCAAAUGCAGCACGUAGCAGUUCUUGCAUGCUAUCCGAUUCUCCAUCUGUCGACCUUGUACUAUACCCGAAGCAGGCAACGUUAUGAUAUUUGGCACAUCAACAAAUGAAAUUGAUGGUCUGUCAUAAUUCUCACCAUGAUGAACCCAGGUAGUAUAACCUUCAAGAAUACCGUCACACAUCAGAUGUGUCCUAACUUUAUCAUGACUUUGGGUUUCUAUUCUUGCGCUUUUUACACGGACACAGUAUCUCGCUAUCAUGUGGAAGGUCCCGGUAAGCAAAAGCCAAAAAUUCUUCAACACCAUCUUCAUAUGCAGUCUCUCGUCUUGAUUUUUUCAUCCAACUUCGAUCCAUCACCCUAUGUAAGGAGCUGUUCAAUUUAAAUAAAACAUAUCAGCUGCUUUAAUUUGCAGUAAUACAAAAUUCAUGGUCAUGCUUCACCAGCCCAUAUUAGUGAAAAAAGAUCUGAAUUUUGCACCGACGGCUUCAAGGGGCGGCGGCCGGGGGGGGGGGGGCUUGCAAGGGUGGCGGCAGCUUGGGGGGGGGGCUACCCAGGGUGGCGCUGCCCGGGGCUUGCAGGACUUCAUUAAAAAAGCUUAAGGAACGGCGUCUGUGGACUGUCUAGGAUUAGAUUGCCAAUUUGGCCGGUGGGUGGCUGGGUGGAUUUUGUAUAGUCAAAGGCAAUUUUAUUUAGAGACUUGACAAACACACGUUGCUACCUCAAUGGUAUGGCUGCAGAACUCUAAUAUUGCUAGCCGCGGUUCAAUUCCUGGGAGCCACCAUUUUUUCAUUUUUUUUCUGUUGUACACUUUCAUCAUGUAAUUCUGUUGUGCACUUUCAUCAUGUAAUGUAGAAACAUGCUAUUUGUACUUUGUUUGCUCAUAAUCAAGGAUGUUUUUGUGUAGUCGCAAUUAGGAAACUUGUUGGUGGUCUCUCAUCUGUCUACUAUUGCAAUUUACUUUAUAACAACUUCUGGGCUGACAACUACUUUUGUUUCUAUUGGAGCAUGUCUCGGAGAUUGGAUAUGUUUGGAAGGAUUUCAUUCCUUUUUCUUUCAACAUCUACCUUUUGCUUUCCUGUAAAUCGAUCGUGUAUGUGAUGUAACAAUAAUCGUGUCUUGCAUUGCACGGUGGGGAAUCGAAGCUUGAAAUGCUUUGUAUCAAUGAUUUUCUCAUGUUACAUUGUUGCAAAGUGGAUGCUAAUGUUUUCAUCAUGCUUGUCUUAUCUAGGUCCCUAUCCAAUUUUAUUUGUUCAAUAGUGAAGGCUCAACAGCAAACGACAACUAUAAUAUAUGGUAAUAUAGUAGAUUGAGACUACUAAAUAUAGUUAAGCAUAUGUAUUCAUGCAUACCUUCUUGCCCAACAAAUUUGAACAUUUUAAGCCUUUCUGCAUUACAUGAUGAAAUUGUAUAUUUGUUUUGCCCAUGGGUGCCUAUUGAUGGUUAUUUCAUAUGCUUUAUGACUUGUCUACAUGCUAUUCAUGAUUUAAAGCAUGUCAAACUUUGUAUCAAUUCGAUACAUUUUGCUAAUCAAGUCAAAAAGCAUCUUUACCUUGGUAUAGACAAUUGUUUGAUACGCUUUACAACGUGUCUAGGGGAUAAUGACGCUUUAAAGCAUGUCAAACUUUGUAUCAAUUCGAUACGUUUUUCUAAUCAAGUCAGAAAGCAUCUUUACCUGGCUAUAGACAAUUGUUUGAUAUGCUUUACAACAUGUUUAAGAGAUAAUGACGCUUUAAAGCGUGUCUAACUCUGUAUCAUUUUGAGACGACUUCAAUAGCAUGUAAAAAAAUAUCUUUAUAUGACUAAUAACACUGUAAGCGUGUCUAAUAUCGUAACAGUCUGACACGUUUUCGAAAUCAUGUCAAAAGGUAUCUUUACAUGCUGAUGUAGAGACGCUUUUAUCAUGCGUUACUACUAUAGCGUAUCUAUAGGGGGGUUUCUAGUAGCGCACUGGCAACUGCUAUCUGCUGAUGAAGGCUUCGUUCAGAUUUGUGGCUGCAAGCGGGCUGCUUUUUGUUUCGCCUUGCAGUUUCCUGAGACUUGCUUAAAUCAUCCGCGAAAUGUUCGAAGGCAACAAAAAUUGCCCCACGAAAGACAGGUUUUUCACUGAAACCCGGGCAUUAAAAACAGGCCGGAGGGCAUGCUCAAUCAAUCAUCGCAGAGCGGGGCUUGAACUCCCCAGUUCCUCUGUCUUCGCGGCAUGGGGGCAGGCACUCUGAUGAUCCCAUCAUCAGCCACCAGUACCACCCGUGUAUGAUAACUCGGGGCUCGGGAGUAUGGGCCGGCGCCAGCUUUUGCUUCAAGCUGGAUGCACAGGCAGAGUUUGCAUUGGUCUCUCAUCUCAUCUAAUAAUCUCAUUGCUGAACUUCUGAUAAGGCUGGCAUGAUAUGCGAAGAUUGAUGUGGCUGGGCAGGGGGGCGGUCAGCUAAUGAUGAUCAAUUGAUCUCCCAUGAAGUAAGUGAUCUAGUGUGCGUAACGCGGGUCAUUGUCAGAGCCGCUAUCAGCUGAGCCAUGGCAAUAACUCCAGGUUUGGCUCGGAGUAAACUAAUCAAGUAACCCGGCUGUAUCGUAGUCGUAUGUUUUCGUCGCGUGGCGCCGCGCAAAAGCAUACAACGCGGGCCUCACCAAUGCAACACAUAGGCCCACGAACGCAUGUCCAAACCGAUAAGUGGCACUAAAAAAUAGGGGUGUGUGUGUAUCACGUUGGAAGUGAAGGGUGCAUUUGGUAAGCUGGAUCGGCCUUCAUCCAGGCCCACGGGGUGCAACCGACCUUGUUCAGUAGGCUGGAGGGGAUCACGGGGUAGGCCCGCGCGGUGCAAAAGUGGCCUGCCAGGCUGCACCACGUGGAAUGCCAAAUUUUGGCUGUUUCACGCGAUGCAGGCCCGAGCGGGUGCCUCUCGCAUACGCGAAGGGAAAGGUGGGAGAUCUCGCGGGCCUUGGCGCCAGUUUUUGGGCCGGCUAGGGUUACCUCCUGCCGAUAUAUAGCGGAGGUUUCUCGGUCGCCUGCCCUCUCCUCCCCCAGACGCGUCGCCUCCACUUGCGACUCCUUCGCUCUCCUCUCUCUCAUUCCCACUUGACUCCUCCUCUCCUCUCAACCUGACGAGUUAGCCAAGGUGAAGGCGCGGUUGUUCCGGAGGCAUCCGUGGUCGCCUGCACUGGCAGCCGUGGGUUCUUCUUACUUGGCGAGCGCGAGGUCUUCUUCAUCGUCGACAUCAUCGUCUCCGUCAUCAACCAACACUGGAUCUGUGCUUCAUAUUCAUCACCGAGCAUAUCUGCUUCCUCUUCAUCCCUGUCUAGUUUACCAACCUCUUCAUCCCAGUUGUGAUCUACUUCUUCCACUUCAUCGAGCGGAUCUACCUUGUCUACUUGCUGUUCGAGUCAUCGCUCGAGUCCUCCGUCGGCAUGCACGUCUUCCUCCUCUUCCCCACAACAGUCGUCUUCAUCUUCAUGGAGGUAUGUCCCCGAACUGCUCCCCUCAUGUCCCUUAAGUUGUCGUUUUUGAGCUUUUGGUGAUAUUAUUUGGGCUCCUACGACGGAUCUUUGGUACUGUUCUUCGAUCUGUUGAGUUCCAAGGAAGGGGUUGUUUACAUACUAGGGUUUUCUUGCAUAAUUAGUUGGGUAUCCUCACCGUAUAUGCAUGUGUACUUGUAGAUCUGUCAUGCUUUAUUGUUACUUGAACUUCUCUUUGUCUGUUCGUAUUGUUCUUGGAUCUGUUCCGGUUCAUUAGUUGCAAAUGCACAUGCGUCACGGGUUGGGUUCUGGGGAAGGUGAACUGAUGAUAGGGUUUCCUUUCGUGCUUAGUUUGGAAUCCUUGCUGGAUAUGCAUAUGUACUUGUAGAUCUGUCAUGUUUCUUGUUACUUGAACUUAUUUAGGAUCUGUUCGUACUAUUCUUGGAUCUGUUUUGGUUCAUUAGUUCAAAAUGUACAUGUGUCAUGGGUUGGGUUCUAGGGAAGGUGAACUGAUGAUAGAGUUUCCUUUCGCGCUUAGUUUGGGAUCCUUGCCGGAUAUGCACGUGUACUUGUAGAUCUGUCCUGUUUCUUGUUAUUUGCACUGCAUACAUUAACUUAUUUAGGGUCUGUUGCACCUAUUGUUCAAUCUGUCGCGGUUUAUUUCAUCUGUUAACAUAUCCUAUGUAGAUAAUGCGUGGAUGUGGAGUUGUUGGCAUGAAUGUGUCCCUACUGCAAGUUCUGUUAUGUGCACUGAGCCUCUAGGAGGCAACCUUUCAGUAGCAGCUGUGGUGAUGAUAUAUUUUGCCUUAUUUUAAUUUGAUCUAUUGGAUGUUGUUGAGGAGGAUCCUCUGGAAGGCUACCUUGAGUAGCAGCCAUGGCUAUGAUCCCUGAUUCACCUUUUCAACUGGAUUUGGAGUUUCUGUGCUCCAUGAUGUUGUGGAGGAGCCUCUGGAUGGCUAGUUUCACUAGCAGCAUUGGCUAUGAUCCCUCCGGUGUCUCUUUAUUUGGAUAAGGAGUUCCUUUUUGUGUUGAUGAUGUUGAGGAGGUGCCACUAGGAGGCUAAUUUUGUAUUAGCCAUGGCUAUGAUCCCUGUUUUGCCCAUCCUGUUGUCCUUUGCCACACCGUAGGAAGUCUUGAGUUCCAAUAUUGUACUAUAAGUUCUAAAAUUUGUUCCUUUUCAUGGAACAAUGUAGAUGGACUUGCAUGAGUAUCGUGCUAGGAUGGCUUCUCAAGUUGUUGCUCUUAUUGUUGUAUGCAUCGCAUUCUUUUACUCUAGGCUUAGGAGGGGCAGGAGUGAUUCAGAUGAGGAUGAGUGCUCUGUUUGGGUCCAUAGGGCAGUGGUGGAUGCUGAUAGGCAGGCAAACCUAGAUAAAAUUUACAACUGCACAGAGGUAGAGUCUAUAAGCAUGCUAAGGAUGCAUAAAGCUCCUUUCUUUUAGUUGGUAAACCUAUUUAGGGAGAGGCACCUUCUAGAGGAUAGCAUACGCACUAGUGUUAAGGAAUAGGUAGCCAUGUUUCUUCACAUUGUGGGAUACAACCAAAAAUUUCGGGUGGUUCAUCACACCUUUAGGAGGUCCAUAGAGGAUGUCAGUAGGUACUUUUGCGCAGGUGCUUUAUGCUGUUGGGGAGCUGAUGGGUGAGAUGAUAAGGGCCCCUGAUGGUGCCACACACCCUAAAAUUCUUGGGAGCUAGAGAUGGAACCCAUACUUCAAGGUACUUGGGAUUGUUUGUAGUGUCCAUAACUUCUUGUUCUUUACUACCUUCAUGGUACACUAAUGCUUGCAUCUGCACUAUCUUACGAUUACAUUGGAGCUAUUGAUGGAACCCACAUUCUAGCUACGGUUCCAUUUAAGAUGCAGGCUGCAUUUAGAGGUUGUAAGCAAAGCCCAACAUAAAAUGUGCUAGCUGCUGUCGAUUCGACAUGAGGUUCACCUAUGUCCUUGCUGGGUGGGAAAGGUCAACUCAUGAUGCGCUGAUCCUAGCUGAUGCAUUAGAGAGAGAUGAUGGGUUGAGGGUCCCCCAAGGUACACUGCAAGCCCACAUUGUUAUUUUAUUUUGUACACUGUAGUGGCUGAUCAGUCCUAAUUGCAUUCAUGUGUAGGAAAAUUUUACCUCGCCGAUGUUGGCUACGCAUUGCAACCUAGCUUCUUACCACCAUAUAGAGCUGUUAGGUACCACAUGUCAGAAUUUGAGGGUAGGAGAACUCCAAGCAAUGGUAAGGAACUAUUCAACCUUAGGCACUCAUCCCUCCGCACCACAGUUGAGAGAGCUUUUGGGGCACUUAAGUGCAGGUUUCGCAUGUUAGAUAAUAAGCCGUAUCAUCCAUAUCCCUCCCAAGUUAAAGUUGUAAUUGCUUGUUGCAUUCUGCAUAACUAGAUUUUGGGUUUUGGGGUAGACGAAGUUGUCCCAGGGGAGGAUUUCUCACCACCUCCUACACAAUCACAGCCUGCACCCACACAUGCUGCAAUGUCAUAGGAAGCACGUGCCUGGGGUGUUUAAAGGGAUGAGUAGGCUUUGGUUAUGUGGCAGAACAAGGGGUCCUCUAGGGUUUAGUUUCUUUCUGUGCUGUAUUGGAACUGUAAGGAACCAUGGUGUGGCAUUGAUGUGAUGAAUGUGGCAACUAGUUGAGACAACUACUGUACUAAAUAUUAUUUGCUGUCAUCCUGCUUUUGAUGUUUUUAUUUGCUUGUUUUUUCCCUUAACAGCUGAUUUUGAUAUGAUUUGUUGUUUUACUCAACAUCUACUGUUUGUUUACAUCCUCUUAUUUAUCUAUUUUUUUGUUUCCUUGAGAAAUUAAGGGCUGCAAUGACCUAACCUAUCAUGUGUUCUGUACUUAAUGGUCGCAAUUGCCAUCUGUGCUAUUGGUUACCUAGGCCAAUGUCUGAGGAGGAUGUGUUCUUUGGUUCCGCUGCUGCUGGGUUUGCUAGUGUUGGUCAGCUACUUGCUGGUUUGGUUGUUGAUGGUGGUGCCUCUGGCCUGGUUUAGGGCGGUGGUGGUGCUGGUGUGGGUGAUGCUGUUGCUGCUGUGGGUGGUGUUGUUGCUAAGGCCCUGGGGGUGCUGAUGGUCGUGGUGGUGCUGGUGGUCUUGGACAGGGGGGUGGUGUUGGUGGUCUUGGACAAGGGGGUGGUGCUAGUGGUGGUGCUCCGCGUCCUCCUAUGACGUGGACCAGUGCCACCUCUGGAUUUGUGAUGCAUCACAUGUGUGAGCUGAUUGGGACUGGUGUGAGGCCUGAGAAGGGCUUCAAGGAGGUGCAUGUGAACAAGGUGGCCAAGGCCCUCCCGGAGUGGACUGGGGGCAUGUCACCGCCACUCAAGUGUACAACCACCUGCGUAAGUGGCAGCAGAGAUGGGGUAGGGUGUGCAAGCUCAGGGAUCUCAGUGGUGCUCUGUGGGAUGGUGACACAUGCAACAUCACUCUUGAGCAGGAGCACUACCUUGGCCAUUGCAAGGUGAGGGCUUUGAUCAUGCUAUAUGUUUUUUUUCAAUAAUUGUCACUCUUGAGCAGGAGCACUACCUUGGCCAUUGCAAGGUGAGGGCUUUGAUCAUGCUAUAUGUUUUUUUCAAUAAUUGUCAAUUUUUUUCUUUUUCUAAGUACUGACAGUAGUUGUUUUUUGCUGUCUGUUUUGCAGGAUCACCCUAAAGACACUGAGCUGCUGAACAAGCCCAUUGAGCACUACGCCCAGAUGGAGGUCAUAUUUGGAGGGGGCAAGGCAACAGGUUGCUGGGCCAUGGGUUCUGGAGAGGCCCUAGGUGUGUUCUCUAGGUUCGGGGAGACAACGAAGAAGAAGGUGAACAAGCAGCAGCUGGUUGACCUGACUUUGACUGAGCAGCAGGUGGACCAGAAGGUGGUCAUGAAGCCUGCUGCCUCUGGGGAGGGUUCUAAGGCCCCUGCAUGCUGCUUUGGGAGCAAGAGGAAGAGGGUUGCCAUGUCCAAGGAGGAGGUACUUAUCCUCACCAAUAUGACAGAUGUUGUGAACAAUGUGGCAGCAACACUGAGGGAGACGGGGCCUGAGCAAGUGCACCCUGACCUCUACAAUGUUGUGAUGCUGACCCCUGGCUUCUUUGAGGAGGCCCUGAUUGUUGCUUUUAGUCACCUCCUGGACAACAAGUCUCAAGGCAAUGCAUUUUUCAAGAUGGACGACAGCCACCGCACCCUUUGACUUAGGAUCUAGCUGGGCAAGCAAUACUACUAGUUAUGUGGUAGCUGCUGCUAUCUUCUAGCUUAGGGAAAAUAGUUGAGCAAGUCUUCAUCCCUGAUCACUCCCUUCUUUUGCACAGAUCUCUAUAUACGUAGGUCUAACCUAUUAAGGUGUAGCCUCACUUGCACCUGGCCUUUUGUGGUGGUUUUUGGAUUCACAUGGGGAUGGCUAAUUACUAAUUAUGUUUCAUGGCAGCAUGAUAAGGUUAAGGUGAAGAACUUUGGUACUAACUAUUUGCUAAGGAAUUGCAUGGUAAGUAUUGUAAUAUGAUGGAUCUAGUACUAAUAUACGCCUAUGGUGCUUGUGAUGUGAUGACAUGUAUGCCUUUUUACAUUACACUCCUAUUAGCUUUACGUAAGUAUUUUUACCAUGUGGACAUGUUGUUGUUCUGCUUUGCUGUAAUUUUAUUAGUUUGCAUUAUGCUGCUGUUGUUUAACUAUUUUAGUUGCCUUGUUGACAUGUUCCUCCGGUUGCUAUUUGACUUGGUAACAUGUGCUCUUUAUUUUGCUAUAUAUCUUGUUACCAUGUUGUUGUUGUUCAUGUUUUGGUAUUUAACUUGUUACCAUUUGCAUGUUGUUCUUUACCUAUUGGUUUCCAUUCUGUUGAUGGUGUUUACCUAUUUUAGUUGCCUUGUUGACAUGUUCCUCCUGUUCUUUAGGUUGCUAUUUGACUUGGUAACAUGUGCUCUUUAUUUUGCUAUAUCCUUGUUACCAUGUUGUUGUUGUUCAUGUUUUAGGUAUUUCACUUGUUACCAUUUGCAUGCAGUUCUUUACCUACAUGACUUGUUACUUUGUUGGUUUCGUUGGUUUCCUAUCUUUUAGCCUGUGAUGAUUACCCUUGGGUAGGACAAUGACAAAGUGGCUCCUGUCUUAUGGUUCUUAUACAUGUUGUUCUGUGUUUGGUGUCUUUUCAGCUUUAUUGCCUCUGUUCCACUCUUCCUUUCUACUCUUCUGCUGUCACUUUUAAGUCCACGUAUCUGUAUGGUAGUUGGAGAUGUCACUUGUAAUCUGAGGCCCAACAUACAUUUUUUCAUGCUUGUGAUGCAUUUGUACUGAGGCAUUCAUGUUGGGUGUUGUGAAUUUGUAUUUGUAUAUUUGAGGAUCAUGAGCUUAGGGGAUGCUCAAACCCAUCACAUUCCUCUUUUGACCUUUUGGUUUUUCUGAUCCAAAUGCAGUUCUUACAAUUCAAGUAUUUGAGGCACGAUGAGAGAAAGGUGACGCAUCUGAUGUCCAUGUGGUGAGGCCUCUGUUUUGGUUCUCUUCUGAUUUCCAUGUAUCAAUUGUGUAUGCGGAUGAUGAAAGGGUUGCGAGUUCUGAGCUUAGCUUGUAUUUCUCAAGCUCGAUGUGGACCUUGGUUAAGUUGUUGUAUGGUGACUUGAUGAACAUCCACUCGAGCUUGGCGAGUAUAGUGACCUAGCAGAUGGACAAAAGCAACCCUCUCUGAUGCCUUAUGUGAUUUCGGGUGGCGAUGAUGUAAAGGUGGUAACAUGCAUGCCUCAAGAUGCUACCUACAUACUGAGGCAAACAAGACAUACCUUGCCUUGAUUGCCUCACUAUUAGGUAGCUCCUUAGCACAUGCAUCUGCACCUGAGCUGAGCCCUAAUAAGAACCCAUUUGAUCUCUUAUGUUGUUGCCUUCUUGAUUUUCUUUACAAUAGUGUUGUUUCUGUGGAUGGCGAUGAUGACGACGAUGCUCACACUGGCUACCAAACGCACCACUUUGGACCGUAGCAGAUGUUAGCUCCUAGUGAUGCGGUUAGGGGUCCCUCUAACUGCCUCACUAGGAGGCAACUCCUGCAUGUGUCCUAUUGUUAGGCAAGUACUACACUUCAUCUGAGCCAUGCAUCAUUUAUUUGUUGAUGAUGACUGACCACAUGGGUUACAUCUUAGGCUUUUUGUUCACUUUUAUCUGAUUUUCCUAACUUGAGUUUGUUUGUGUUGCCCAUGUUGAUGCUUUUACUUGGUGGCAAUGAGGCUUGGAGAUGUUGCCCGCUGCUAAGGCACAUGGGAACCUUUAUUCGUAUCAUGAGCCAGUUUUAGGUGAUGAUAAUUUGGUUUCAUGCAAUUCCGAUAAAUUGGUUGUCAUUUUUGUCUCAAUCCUGACCCAUUAGUUGUUCACGUUGUAGAUUAAUAGCUUGGUGGACAUUCUUUAAUCUCAAAUUAAGUGUCAUUGUGGUUCUCUGUGCUCUCUUCAUCCAUAUUGGCAUUUGCAAGUUUUUAAUUCCCUCUGCGCCAUGUUCCUGUUGCGUUUUACUUCAACUGUCAUGCAAACAAAGCCCUAAUUAUAUUAAAGGUUGCUAAUUACCUUAUGAACUUGAUGUAAUUUUGUUCCUCUGUAAAUUUGGAGUACAUUACUUGAUGUAAUUUUGUUCCUCUGUAAAUUUGGAUCACAAUGUACUGUUGACCUCCCUAAUUAUUUGUAUUAUUUUUAUUCAAUUUAAUUUUUGUGAUCUGUACAUUUCUGGGCACCUGGCAAUGGGGUAACCUUCAUCAGCGCCAGCACGUGGUGAGAGCAACUCCCCUAUACAGGCUACCAAAUGUCAUCUUUAGAUGGAAGUUUGGGUUAGUUACGGAGGACCCACUGCCGGCCCACCCUAACAAACAUCCUUCUAGCCCAACCAGAAUCAUGGGAUGCAGAUUUGACAAUCAACAUCUCUACACCCCAUAAACCUAUCCUGUCUGGCUCAGGCCCAGCUCACGGCCUAGGCUACCACACGCACCCGAAGUAACACCGGACUGGCUGUCUCUUAGGCCGGCGGCGUGGCCAUGGCCUAUAGAGAAGCCAUCGCCGAACAAGCCACCACCCACAGGCCACAGCUCCAACGAGCUCUGCCGCCGCUAGCUGCUUUUCUUGGUUCUUGUGGCGAACCUCCAACUUCUUGUACUCCAAUUAUAGUUCUAUGGACAAACGCCGGCACUCCAACCUCUUGUAGGUACCCUUCCUAAUGACUCAGUUGCAGUUCCUUUGAAAGCCCCGUACACGCAGCGUGCAGGCUUGAUUGUCUGGCCCUGCGAGAGCCGCCAUGACUCGGAUUACAUCUGCAAAACACGACUAUAAUUGGUUUGCAUUGCGUAUUUUUCCAAGUUGCGUGUCAAGAUUGCUCCCACUGUUGAAGCUUGGGUGUGACUUGUGAGUAUACCAGUACGCGGUGCUUGGUUGCUAGCUGGCCAUCGAACGUUGUGUUUUUUUACGCAUUACUUAGACGCCGUUGCAAGUGCGACGUGGCGCAACACGGCUGGGAAGUGGGAACUAACCAAGCAACUAACCCGUAUCGUAGUCGUAGAUAAUGCAGCAUUGCAACUCAUCAUCAUAUACGUACGUUGUCGUCACCUGCCCCCGUGUCGCACGUUUUCGUCCCAUGGCACAGCGCAGAGCAGAGCAUACAGCCCGGGCCUCAACCAGUGCAACGCAUACGCCCACGAACGCAGGUCCGAACCGAUAAGUGACGCUAAACAACAGGGGUGCGUGUGUAUCUCGUGGGAAGUGAAUUGACGCCGGUCUGGCUGCCUCUAAGGCCGGCGUGGCCACGAGGCCCACGACCAAGAGAAGCCAUCGCCAACGCCAACGCCAAACCCAACGAGCGCUGCCGCCGCUAGCUGCUUCCUUGGUUCUUGUGGCUUUACUUCUUCGCCGAGGCUGCUUGCAUUUGUUCGGCCAUGGACACGGCGGCGCUGCCCGUCCCCGUGGGCGUGGAGACGCAUUUCGCUCCUCCGGCCUCCAUGCCGUCGUGGCCCUCGUCAGGUACAUGUUCUGACGAUUCAUUUUCUUGCGUGCUUGUUUUCCUGAUUGAGGUGUUUUGCUAUGCGCUGCAUGCUGCUGAAAAGAUUCUGAAUCUUUGCUCUUAUGUCCUGGUCAUCCUUGCACUUAGGCUAUUUGUGUGGCCUCUCGUUUGCAGAGAACAGAUCGUAAGCACAUAGAUGCCAAAUAGUGCCAUUGUUGAGAUUAGGCUGAGGCAGUGUCUAGCUUGCCUGGAAUUGAGACAAGGAACAUAUACUUCGCCGAGUUCACGAGCUACAAGAUCCUCAACCUUUUUGUUUUGAUGAUGCUAGAGACCUAGAGUUGCUGUGUCUUGUUUGGAAAACAAGAUAAGCACAGCUUCCAAAGUGGAUAAUAAUAAAAUCAGCAUAACCUUACCCUUUUAUCCAGUCAAAGUACCCUUGAACGAAAGUUAUGCCUGUCGUUGUUCAGAGUUCAGAGUAGCAUACUAGCGUAGCUUGUGUUGUCAGUUUUCUACUUUCUGGUUAGGCCAUUUCCCCAAGUUUUGUGAGCAAUGCUGCACAUACUCGUAGCAAACAUCUUUUCCUUUUGGAAUAGUAUCCACCCACCAUCACAAUGCUCUGAAUUUAGCUAAGAUUGCAAACAUUUUGCGUCACCGUUGGAAUGGUGUCAGAUGGAGCAUUCGCGAAGGGCGCCAUAGACCUUGGAGGCCUGGAGGUGCGCCAGGUCUCCACAUUCGCCAAGGUCUGGUCCACCAGCCGGGACGGCGCCGGCGCCACCUUCUUCAGGCCGUCGCCGAUCCCGGCCGGCUUCUCGGCGCUCGGGCACUACGCGCAGCGCAACGACAGGCCGCUCUUCGGGCACGUCCUCGUCGCUCGUGACACCACUUCUCACGACACGGCGGCACCGAUCCUUGCUCCGCCUCGAGACUACACCCUCGUCUGGUCCAGCCCGGACGGCGGCGGCUGCUUCUGGCUCCCCACGGCGCCCGACGGUUACAGGCCGAUCGGCGUGGUGGCCACGGCCACGCCGGACAAGCCUCCCCUCGACGCGGUCCGGUGCGUCCGCGCCGACUUCACUGACGAGUGCGAAGCCGAGGCGCCGUCGGUGUGGAGCAGCGGCGACCGGGUCGGCGGUGGCUUCAGCGCCGCCACCCUGAGGCCGACGGUACGCCGCGUCGACGCCCGCAGCGUGCACGCCGGCACGUUCCUCGCCCGGAGCAGCGCGACGCCGGUUGACGCCUCGGCCCUGGCGUGCCUGAAGAACAACGGCGCGAGCCACACAUCCGCCAUGCCCGACCUCGCCCAGGUGAACGCCGUCCUCGCGGCCUACUCGCCGCUGGUGUACCUCCACCCGGACGAGCCGUACAUGCCCUCGUCGGUGGCGUGGUUCUUCGAGAACGGCGCGCUGCUGCACCGGCGCCAGCAGGCCCCGACGCCGGUGGUGGACGCCGGCGGGUCGAACCUCCCGCAAGGCGGCGACAACGACGGCAGCUUCUGGCUCGACCUGCCGGCGGGCGGGGAGCAGAGGGAGAGGGUCAAGAAGGGCGACCUCGCCGGAGCGAGGGCGUACGUGCAGGUGAAACCGAUGCUCGGCGGGACGGCGACGGACCUCACCAUGUGGUUCUUCUACCCGUUCAACGGGCCGGCGCGGGCCAGGGUGGCCUUCGCCACCCUGCCGCUCGGCGGCAUCGGCUCCCACGUCGGCGACUGGGAGCACCUGACGCUCCGGGUGAGCAACUUCUCCGGGGAGCUCCUGCGGGUGUACUUCUCGCAGCACAGUGCUGGCGUCUGGGUCGACGCGCCCCGGCUGGAGUACGUCGCCGGCGGCGGCGGCAGGAGGCCGGUGGCGUACGCGUCGCUGCACGGGCACGCGUUCUACCCGAGGGCGGGGCUGGAGCUGCAGGGUUCCGCGGUGGUCGGGAUACGGAACGACAGCGCCAAGGGGAGCAUGUUCGACACCGGCGGGCCCGGGCGGUGCGAGGUGGUGUCGGCGGAGUACCUCGGCGUCGCCGAGCCGGCGUGGGUCGGGUUCAUGCACCCGUGGGGCCCGACGGAGGUGUACGCCAUCGGGCGCGUGAUCAACGGCGUCGCGCGGUUCCUGCCGCGCGCGAUGCGGGAUCGGCUGGAGCGGCUGGUGAGGAAGGUGUUCGUCGGGGACGGGGCGACGGGGCCCAAGAAGCAUGGCAGCUGGGUAAACGACGAGAGGGACCCCCCAACUGAGGGUUAAUUCGCGCGGGAACUUCUUCAUCAGUCACCCACCAUUCGCUACAGCCUUUUUACAAUCAGAUCUGAUGGCCACUUUCAUCUUAUUUGAAAUAAUACAAAUAAGUAAUUAAGGAAGGACACUGCUCAGGCUCUGCAACUUAAUUAUACAUCUCCUUUGCUAGGUGUAAAUGGUGAAGCAAUCCUAUUUUGACUGGCCACAACCUUACACAGUUACACUUAACAUGUAUAGACCAUGUUCAAUGAUAAAUACUAAGAACUGAUCUACCGUACUCCAUAGUUACAUAAUUACAUCCAUCUGCAGCAAAAAAAAAAUUCUGGACUGCAACUGCAAGGAUGUAUAUUAAGUUUGUACAGCAAUCUGCAAUUUUUUUCUGGCAUCACAUCUACCGAUCCAUCAGCUAUGCCAUCUCAAAUCCUGGCACCAGACUGCUGUACAAACUUCAACAAUCACGCAGAUGGACCAUCGAACGACUGGCUCUUCCUCAGGUUCCAGUGGAGGCCCUCAUGGAUGCUUCGCAGGAAGUCGGUUGUCGAGUCCACCAGGCACGCCGUGGGCACAGGCCAAGGGGAAAUGCUGCAGAUGAGCGCAUCACCUGGUCCUAGCUGAAUCCUGCCCUUGCCAUCAAAGGAUGCCCAAGCCUGCCCUCUGCUAUUGAACGGCACUUGCACGCGCAGAGUUACAUAUUCUGGUAGUAUCAAGGGCCUGAAUGACAACGAAUGCGGGCAGAUUGGAGUGAAAAGGAUCCCUGGGACCUGCGUAUACCAGCAAAAUAUAUCAUUAGAGUGGCAACAUGGGUAACUUGUUUGAAGGAGUCAUAGAAAGAAAUAAUACUAGCCCAUUCGUGAUCAAGAUUAACCAGAAGGGCCAUGUUCUUUAAACGAACAUGCAGGCAGCUAGCAAAAGAAAACACUCAAUUCAUGUAUCUUUCAGACGGAUGAAUCUUAACUAUAAGGUUGGUUUGAUUCUUCGUAAUUACAUUUUAUCAUGGGAGUAGCAACAUGUUGCCGCACUUUUUAAACAACAUUACACAGUAUAGGUUGCAUUAAGUAGAACAUAGAUUCCUCAUUGAUAAACUAGAAUAAUUGUGGCAGUCUUUUUGGGACCUUGAACAUGAGCGUCUUUCAACUUAUUUCAAAGUAUUAAUGCGUAAUAUAUCGAACAAAGAAAAUGAAUAGCCUAUAGUCCACACACUUUUGGAGAGCCUUCACACAAUAUUGCAAUGCUGGACAAAAUCUGGAAACCAUAUGUGGGUCUACCUGUGGGUGAACCAUUGAUCCUCCAGCUGCCAAUGAAUAAGCAGUGCUUCCGGAUGUUGUUGAUAUUAUUAGUCCAUCUCCUUGUACGCAUGUUACAAAAGAACUAUCACAAUAGCAUUCUAGGUAGGUAAGGUAAGAUGACAUUCCACGGUCAAUUGUCACUUCAUUUAGUACUAGAAUUGGUUCCUCAGACUCAACUUCAUCCUUAGCUGCAUCACGGACUACAUGACACUUGAGACGGCUCCUCAGUGUGAUGCUAAAUGGUCUUUUCAGCACAUUGCCCAAACAUUCACGGUAUUGCUCCCUUGCUUAGCUUAAGUUAAGGUCAAUAUAUUAUUAUGGUGGGUAAGCACUGAGCAAAAAACUCCUUUGAAUAAAUAAAAUAUCAUAAUUCUACAGAUUAUGUGCACUGGAACAAAAUAUGUAAGCGCCCAUGUAUUAUCAAUGAAACUGUGACAGACAUAUAAGUGAAUCUGAAUUAGUUGAAAACUCUGCAAGAAAUACUAUAUGAGAUCCAACCAUAUAUAGGAUAUAAAUAAAAGGGACAUAUCAAGGUUGCACACUUAGUUUUAAAAAAAAAAGGUUGCACACUUGAAUAUACAGAUUUAUAGAUUAAAAUUACAUCUAUGUUAAAGGCAGAAAUCAUAUUCACUAUUUUUUAUAAGGUUAGAUGUGCGAGAUAUACUAAGAUAACGCAAGAAAUAUGAUACCAAAAAAAACGCAGCCUUAUUGAUAUAUUUACUUGUUGGAAUGCUUUAUAUGAACUACUAGCGAGGCUAAAAAUAGCUAAACCUCAACAUCAGUUCCCAAGGGAAAAUAAAACUGGCAACUUGUGCCUGUUUGGUUCCAUCCAGAAUGAGGAGCCACCAGACAAAAGUACUACAAAUUACAGAAGAUGGUGAACUGGUACUUGUCUGCUGGUGCUACAAGGAACGGUGUCAUGUCCAUCCACGUUAGCCAUCACUCUGUUACAAGUUGAUGGCUGGAUGUACUACAGAAUGUCAGCCACAUUGCCAAAUUUAUAACAGGUCCACGUUACCAAUUUAUACUUCCACAUCAAGGUCAUCCAGUAGAAAUGUAGAAGGAAUGGCAACAAGGCCAAGCCAAAUGCUUUCAUUCUUGUUCAAGUAGGACAGAGAACUACAUGGCUUGCAGAACAGGUUCAUGUGGGAUGUCUACAUGUCUUCGAAGUCCCCUCCCAGGAAGGGACUUCGUGUCAUCCCUGGGCAUACUUUAGCAACAUGGUAGUGAGCAUUCAACACAGAUAAUGAAGGAUACGGAAUGGAGUCAUGAAACCCAAUGAUCCAAGAGAGAACGCAACAACAGGGGGAACUGGCCCUUUGAAUAAUGAUGCAGCCUGUUAAGAGAUUUUAAUCAAUUGUAUAGCUUAAUCAGAUUAUCAAAAUGACAAAUAAGUACUAAAAUAUACAGGAGAAAAAACAAAAUAGGGACAUUUUGCUACUUUUGCUAUAAGUUAUAGACCAAUUCUUGCCAACUAAAUAUUCUAAACCCGUGGAGAUAUAAACAGGGGGGCAUUCGACUACUAAUAAACAAUACAACACUGUAAUUCAUCAGUGCAAGGUAAAACCUACAUAAUAAAUUUCUAUCCACAUAGGAAUUAGGAGCACUUGCUACAUGAGUUUUAUUUAUUUUUUUCAAGUAUAAGAAAAAGAAUGCUAUUUUGUUUCUUUGAAAUAUUGCACUAACAAAUGGGUUUACUGUGUGGAACUAACCACAAAAUAUCCAUACUCACACUAAAGUGUCAAAUAGUGUAAGUAGCGUACCCAUAAAACAGUUCCAUCACCACCAAGAGUUACAAUUAGAUCAACUUUCGUAUGUAAUGUCUUUGCUUCCUGAUCUGUCAAAAUAUUCUGAUUAAUUGGACACCCAAAAGGAAAGGUUUACAGGGGGAUAAAUUAGUACUUGAAAAAUAUUUUAAACUAUGAAAAAGAACGUUAUGAUAAACCAUCACGAAAGAUGUGCAAAAGAACUUUAACAUGUAUAAUUCACCAAUAGAAAAGGAAUUGCUUGAUAAUAGAUGACCUAAACAAGCAUUAAUAGCAAAGUCAGUAACAUUCCUAGCACAUGCUAACAGUUUUUGAGUUGAUAUAUUCUUGAUAAAGGAAACAUCUGCAAACUUGGUAACUGAUGGGGACAAAUAGAUUCCUCAAGGUAAUUUGAUCAUGUACUCAUUGCACCGUGCUACAAUCAAGAACCACCAGCAAGCCAAGUGACUAUGAGAAUAUGAGAUGACCCCAUAAUGUGCCCAGAAAACCCCAACGCAAGGGUAGAAUUUCAUGCUUAGCAACCUUGGAGGUCCAUAAGCAAACAGACCAGAUUCAUCAUUCUUAUGAAAUCACUAAAUAAAUCACAACAUAUUGCUUUUUCCUCUCAUAAGCAACAGCUACCUUAUUUACACAGAAAAUUAUCAGUACUAAAUGAACAAACAUUUCCUGGUUAUAUAUGUGAAAAAUCUGGAAGGAGCAAAAAAAAAAGGAUUUCCAGUGUUGACUUUAGAAAGAAAAUGAAUCAUAGCAUUGCCCUCAGCUAAUAUCCACAAAACGCCACUUACCAUUAUUCCAUGUCUGGAUAAAGUUGAAGUAAGAAUCUUCAGUCACUAGUUCCUUGCUAACUCGUGGCUCUACGAACACAUUCAUAUUAUUGUGCUCUUUAAGCCAUCUACAGAAAACACAGCAAGAGGUGAUACAUAUAUAUCUAACAACUGCAGUUCCACAUGACAAAUAAACUGGGAGAGAAUAAGUCACAAUGAAAACAUUGCAAUUUAAUGCAUAACUCAGGUAAUUUAUGUACGUUAAAAACAUUCAGGCAAGGUAUGAAGAGAACAUACCUAACCAUUUCAGCGCAGAGAGCAAGCACAGAGUUAGAAUUAGGUUUAGUAACAAAAAGAACUGUUUGCGGAGGUGAUUCCCAUUUUAGCAAAAUCUGAAACCAAAGUAUUUGUUGGCAUAAAUUGACACAGCGAAAUGAGAUUAUCUCCAUGAUCAUCAUAAUGGAAACAAAUAGGGUAUUGUGUUUAAAAUGGAUCAUGCUGAACAUAAAGGACUACCUGCUUAUUGCUGCGCUCUGCUGUUUUUAUGUCACCUUUUUCAAAGGACACAAAAUCACGCUUGUGCUGGUCAUUCUUAUCCCCAUCACAUCCCCAUAAAAGUCUAAAUGGUGCCUAAAUAUGAAAAAUAAAAAAAAGGUGUUUUACUGUUCAUGAAAAAUAUCCAACUUGACUAUGAACACAAUGUUUCUUACAAUUGCACCAAAACUUAAAAUAGCACCCAGGUUAGCAGUGUCAAAAACAAAGUAUUAUAGACAACAGCUUAUGCUUAUGGUGGAGCUUUAUUCUCUGAUUGAUUGAACUUCUUUAAGCUUUGUGCGCACAGAAGUUGAAGUUGCUCUAGCAACAGGUUGGAAAAUAUGGUUGCAAGCCUAAUGAUUUGUAGUCAAUUUGCAAACACAAUGGCAGUCAAUUGUUGUCCAAUUAGACAAUAUCCAAGAAGUGGACAACAAUUCAUUCAAGUCAAGAUUAAAGGGUAUGUAGUUGAUCUUUGAUAGGUUUGUUAAAAUGCCUAGUUUUUCAAUCAUAUAAAAAUCAUGAUGCUUUCUUGUAAGCGCCAUCCCACUAGGUCAGAUUAGGUGAGCCUUGAAUAUAUGAGUUAUGUUAUAUGCCAUUAUCAAUUAGUCAACAGGUAUAAGUUGUGUGAUCCCCUGCACAAUUCGACGAAAUACUGGAAUAGAUAUAAUAAGACCAUAAAUAGAUUAUUUAUUUCGUCAUUUUCUCUGUUCUUUAUAUUUGCUUCCUUUCAAUAUUGUAGGCAAUAACAUGUACUUAGAGGCAGUUCAACAGUAUUAGAUGAGGAACUAUAAGAAAUGAGUUGGUUUUAUCAAUGACCCAUGUUACAAAAACAGAAGACACGUUUACUUAUGCCAUAAGCACUGAAAGCUGACAAUAAAUGUUAAGGAAACUCUUGCCCUAAGGAUACCUUUCUUGCAACAAUCUUUUCAUCUGGUUUUCGGUUAGGUCCAGGACAUUCAUCCUGGAGAAUUUGAUGUGAACAUAUCCCAUGGUUUCCACAACAACUGGUUUGAUCAAUGGAGGCAGUCUCCAAUGCCAUCUGACUAGUCAGUUGCUCUAACUUGUCGUUCCCAAAGUUACUGCAGCCUGCACAUGUUACAAUUUUAGUUCAGGGCAUUGUUAUCCUGGUCAAGAUUUACAUGUAUUCUAUGUAAAAGAAUGAGAUCGUGCUGCCUGAGAUUCCUAAUCUAUCUCCACAAACUUGGUCAUAUAUUUGAUCAAGAAAGUUUGCCUGCACAGGUCACUAAACUACAUUUACGAUAACACUUUCUCGUGACAACUAAAGAUCAUGCACAGAAGGUACAACUUUCGGUACCGAAUAGUCAAUGACUGUUUGUGAGUUCAACUAUUAGCUUACAAGGCUACUAUGUUGAGGGAUCAAAACUCAAGUGAUUUAGUAAUAAAAGAAAGCAUGUGAAACUGCAGCAAAAGAUAGUUGCACUUCUUUAUGGUUGACAAAAGCUAAUAAAUAGUUGACACAUUUCCAUGACCAUGUGAUGCAAAAUGAAGCUAGGGAGGAAAGUUCUGUGUUCAGUACUAGGUUACAACAAGAACACAGUGCUAAUAGCCAAGAUUGAAUUCCAGGAAAAAGACCAAAUGCUAAAUAUUUCAUUCUCGUGCCAAGAAUUCCAGUACUGAACCUUUUUUUUUGGGAACAGCUUGCCAUGCAUUUCAUUAAGAGAAGUUAGAGUGCUAUCUGCUAUAGCAACCUACCCAAACAACACAGUUGAACAAGUAGGCAACAAAGUACAACACACGAUGGUAAUAGAAUAUGAAGGCAUAUGUUUGCAAAAAAAAUUAUUCAGUGAAAAUGAUGCUCAUGGUAAUUUCAGUAUUGUAUAUUAGAAAGUACAAAUUACUAUUCCACUAUCUUAAUAUCGUGAUAAAGACUCAGAUGUGAUGGGGGUACUAAAAAUCAUAGGCAUUACAUCCUACUGUUUUAUACAUGUUGGUUUGUAACUUUUAAGAGUUUGCAGUCAUCAGGAGCAAAGUAUUUCAAAGUAUUUUGUCCCUUCCAAUGUGUAUUUCUAUUGUGUUUUCUAAAGAAAUAAGAGUAAGAGGAGGCUGGUAGUAUGAAAUGCAUUCAGUAACUACUGCUGAGAAAUAGCAGCACACAAGCUCUAUUUGUGUAUAAAAUAUCAUGAUGUUCAUGAAUAAAACCCACACAAACUACAGUAGUUACCUUUGAUUACAUUAUGAUGUUUGUGUUCCUUGGAUGCCACCUGUAAUUCGUACUUGCGCUUCCAUUCAGCUGCCUCUGCUUGAGCAGCAGCUUUCUCUUCCACAACUCGUCGCAGUGUUUUUGCAACAGCUUCAAUUUGCAAAUUGUAAGUCAUAUUAAACACAUGAUUAUAGUAACAUAUAUAUAGAACUAUUAGGCAACAAAGUUAUGCAUUAUUACUUCUCAUAGCUUCAGAAAAUUCUUCAAGGUGUGCAUCAGUUGAUCUGAUAGGAGUUUGGGGAAUAAAUGCAUAAGCGGCCCUCUCCACGGAACUAACUUUGGUGAGCUCCCAAUUUUCAGUUUGAUGUGAGGUAGCCACACUAAGGUUUAUUCUCUCAUCACAAACCUGCAAUAGAAGAAACGCCCUUAAGGCAAUACAAAUAUUACAAGGAUGACAGACUUCACAAGUUAACCAAAAUCAACAUACUUAUUGUAUAAAAAACAACGCAAUACAAGAGCAGUAUCAACAUACUGGUAGGCAUUCUAAGCUACAAGUGAGACAUGCAAAUAACCAUCACCAACUGAUAAUGCCCAAGAGCCCAACACCACGGCAUCACACAUUCUUCUCCCAAAUCCCUUAGGCCCCGUUUGGAUCCCUUCAUUUUGAAGGAAUUGGAAUCUACUUAAUGGAGUAGACUAUUUGUCUUGGAAUGUGGCAUUCCACAACUUUCCAAAGUUUAGAUAUAAGACUAUCUUAAAUUCAUGGGGGUGAGAGAUGGAAAUUGAUUCUAUUGAUCCUCAUGCUAUGUUUCUAAUGUGCAACUUAUAACACGCUCUUCGACUCGCUUCCCUAUAGCAGAAGUGCAUCACAUAAGUAUCUCUCCCAUAUGGCCAACAAUAAUAUACAAAUAUAUUCCACAUGCAACUAUAUUAGCUUAAUUAAUUUGUGUCUAAAUUAUGAUUAUUAGAAUGGAAUUCAAUUCCAAGGAUCCAAACGGGACGUAACAAACAUUUCCCUUAUUUCUACCAUUGCGGUUUCAUGGUUUGUUCAACCCAGUCUAAAAUACUUCUCCAGAUAAUAAUAAUUAAAAAAAUCACAAGUCAGCUGCUCUGUUUUAAACCUGCAUAGCCAUCCACCACCCAUGCAUGUCAAGGCCCUUGGCAACAUUGUAGCAGCAAAAUGCCGUGACACCUCAUACUGCAGCAUUACUCAAGCCCCCAAGCGAACCUGAAUUUCCACCAAAAUUCACAGCGCUGCUACAUCCCCUCUCCACGGCGACCCAAAAGGGUAGGGGAAAAAACGCCCCAACUCCGUUCUGCAUUGGAAUUACGAGAGCACGAAUCGCCGGUACAAAUCAGACCGAUCCGAAUGAACCGAAUCCGGCCAGAAUAGUCCGGGGGAUCCAAUCGCAAGCGAACGCUAAACGAAUUCAGAGGGAAUCUCGCAGCGGCGCGUACCUCCCGCGUGGCCGCCAGCUCGUCGGCGGACAUGGUCGCGCGAUCCAACUGCUUCCCCUUCGUCGCGCCGUUUUCGAACUCUUGUUCAAAUUCUCCUCUUCCUCCUCCUGCCGGAAGGAGACGAGCCGAGGAAGAGGAAGCACUACCGGGCCCUGUUCGGAGUGUUCGGUUAUGAACGGCGCCACGGGGUGUCAAGGCUGCGUGCGGCACGGUGACAAGUGGGACCAGAGGUAGGUGGCAAUGGAUCACGGCUGCCUUCUUCCCGGCCCAACUCUCAGCUCUAUUUAGGUUGCUUCCUAAACUUUAGUUGCUAAAAGUUACUAAACUUUAGUCGUUAAACUUUAGCAAAAGCUGUUUGGAUACUCUUGCUAAAAGGUAUUUAAUGAGCUGUAAAAGUAUCUAUCUAUCCUUAUUAAAGGUGCGCAGGAGGGGGGAGACAAGCAAUAAAUGAGGGGUAUAUGUUGUCCAGCCUACCUUUUAGCAAGUUUUAGCAACCAAAAACUUGCUAAAGUGCUAAACUUUAGCAACUCAACUUUAGCAAGUUUUAGUAAGGGUGUUUGGCAGUUUAGCAGCUAAAAGUUAGGUCCAAUCUUUAUCGAACUCGGUUUUUAAAUUUGCUAGACUUUAGAGGACCUUUACCACCCCUAGGUAGGACCUGACAUCUAAGAGGACAACGGGGGACACGAUCCUCUCGACACCUGUCCGUCGGUGGAUCUGGGUGGUAGAUCCACCACGCAGUGACUACUGACUACUAAUUGUAGGGAGAGUUGUGUAUGAUUUUUUUCCCUUGCCAAAAUAAUUCCAUUGAUGCAAUUCAUGCAGAGAUCCGCUCAUCUUGAGUUUGUGUUAGUCCACGGCGUCAGCUGUUCAUAGGUUAAUUGCACUCCUGAUUCUUGAUUUUCUUCUUCAUGCGGUCACUACGGCUUAUGUCUGUUUUAUUAAGCAAAAUAAUAGAGCUCGUAUGAUCAGCCACCAAAGAUGUGGUGCAUUUGAGAUGAUAAGGUUAGGAAGGAGGAAACAUUGUACAACGUUUUUUUUUUACUACGAAUGACCUAUUAUAUCGUAAACCACAUAUAAACAUUGGUUAUUUGAUUUUAUCAUGUAACCACUAUAUUGGAUAGAUUUUUGACAAGGAGAUCCACAUAUCACCCAAGAAACAUCAUUUAAGAAUUCCAUUCUGUUUAGUCUUUACAUGGUGCAUAAUCAAGAUGUAACAUUAUCGUGGCUUAUGUUUGGUCACAUUGUAUACAUCCUUUACACCUUUUAAAAGUUGAGAAAAGGAGCCUAUCCAUAGAUGUUGUCACACCCGAUUUCUGAACAAAACUGAAUGCAUCGCAUAUGUGUGCCAGGAUCCGUUCUCACACAUAUGUUGAUGUCAUCAGUGAAUACAUCAAAGACAGUGUUCAAAAACGUACAUAAACCAGUAGGAACUUUAUUACACUCAGCGUGAUAGACACGAAGGUCUUUAAUCAUUCACCGAUAACUUAACACGCGCACACACACGCACACAGCGCAGCUUCUCCACAGGCUUGACUGGUGAACGCCUGCCUAGAACUCCUUGAAGUCGUCGAAGAACUCCACGUUGUCACAAGCUUCUGAACAGCGUUUGGGUAAGGGUGAGUACACUUAUGGUUGGUACUCAGCAAGUGGGGGAAACAUGCAAGGCUCACAAGGAAUGGCUCAAGGCUUGAAGCGGUUAGCAUUUUAGUUGGUCAAAUUUUAUUAGCAGCACCUAAUUACUGGAUGUAAGUUUAUACCAACCCAGUUAAGCAUAUAACAUUAACAUUAACCCAAAGGUAAAGGUAACACAGUUAAUUCUCAUCUUUAAAUUCAUUUAUCAUGUGAGGGUCCAAGCCGCUCUUAACCGUGAGCACGGCUAAUAUAUCAGUUUUCACUCUGCAGAGGUUGUACACUUUACCCACAACUCGUGGUCCCCCGUGUCACCCAGGUUUGCAAGGCCCUUAAACACUUCCUUUGGUGAGUGGCUGGGGGGUCCACUACGAAGCUUUUACAAAGACAUGCAGGUAACUGGUAGCCCGCUAGAGUUUCAGUAGCGAUGCGGACCACAACCCGUUAAUGAGACAGCACCUUAGCGAAGGCUACUGCUCCGGACAGUGCACCCAACACCUUCCCCCUCCUUGCCCUUUCGGUAAGGCCACCAGCUAACCACAUGCCUAAUUAUUCGGCUAAGAUCAAAGCCAUGUGAUGUUGUGGUUGUACUGUUUUCUUGGGUGAUUCUCCAUGUUCCGAUUAAAACAAGUGUUCUUGCAAUUAAACAUGUAUAACAACGUAAAUAAAACAUGAUUAACAUCUUUCAUGAUUAGAACAUUACCAAUCAUAGUUAAGCAACUAGCAUGCUACCCAACAUGCUUAAAUAGGUUCAUACAAGGAAACAGGAUUAAAACCUAGGUAUAUACUUAAUAAGUAUUCCCAUCAAUUUUAUGUACAUACGAGCGAAAAGUAAAGGUGAAUCAUGAUAUUAUUGGGUUGAAAAAGAACAUGCAGGGGGAGAAGGCCACUUGCCUUCCUUGGCAAAUUGGGAUAAGUCCUCUUCGAAAGACGGCUGCUCUUGGACUUGCUCCUCCACGAACUUCACGUCGUCUACACGAUCACACAAGGCAAACAAACAAAGAAUGAGUAAAACAGUACAACAAACAUAUGCAAAGGCUUACAACAAACUCCUAAAACUAACGUUCAUGCAGAGACGAUCGCGUGAGCGCGAGAAUCGCUGAAAUCGGAUUUAAAACGAUGAAGAUAUGAGAUAAACAAGUUUCAGGAGCUAAAACAGAAUUAACUAUAUACUUCAAGGGCUAGCAAGGAAUUUUCACAAGACUCAGUGAACAAUGUUUGCGAAUACAGAAAGGUACAAGGUUAGAUAUGCAAGAUUACAUGGCUCAGGUUAAAACGAAAGAAUGUAAGGUCUUGUUUAGUUGCCCAACUUUGGACAACCAAAAUUAUUGUAGCGCAAUUGUAGCAUUUCGUUUGUAUUUGUAAAUUUUUAUCCAAAUAUUGACUAAUUAGACUCAAAAGAUUCGUCUCGCAAAGUACAACAAAACCGUGCAAUUAGUCUUUGAUCUCGUCUACAUUUAGUACUCCAUGCAUGUACCGCAAGUUUGAUGUGAUGGGGAAUCUUCUUUUUGCAUGGUGCCAAAGUUGGUAUUUUGGGAGAAACUAAACAGGGCCUAAUUUUUUCCAGGGAGUUUUACACAAGAUUGCAAGGCACAAGAAUGAAAAGAAGAAAUAUUAGAUAGGCCAGGGGGCAGAUCAAAAGGCAGCCUUAUCAUCUUCUACCUCUUGCCAGAGGCACGGUAGGGGUGCGGCGCACCACCGGCGGCGCAUGGCUUGCCUCGUCGGCACUCCGCGCGGCGGGAAAAGGAGCUAGCGCAUGAGAGGAGCGGGUUGAGAGGGAAGAAAGGAGCCUCACCGGCGGUGAGCUGGAGGAACGGAGGUGCACGGGCGGCCAUUAAUGGCCUUCAAGCUUGUCCGGCCGUUUCCAGGGAGAGGAAAGGAGGGGGCGACAGUUUAAGGCCGGGAGUGGGGGAGAGGAGACGACGCAAGGUUGUGGAGGGGCUCGGGAAGGCCAAAGGUCGCUGGGAGGCGAGGGGCCCUGGCCGGCGGCGCACAGGGGGGGCGCACGGCACCCAUGCGUGCGUCCCUGGAGCCUGAACGGUUGGAGGUGGGGGUGGAGCUGACGGGUGGACUCCGCCAGUCAGUAGGAGGGAGAGGGGCUGGCCGGUUGGGCCACUUUGGGCUGGUUGUGGAGGGAAUCCUUUGGGCCGGCGCAUGGGAGGAAAAGGAGGGAGGUGGGCCGGCUGGAAUGGAAAGGGGAGAAGGAGAAGGUUUGGGCCCAAAGAGAGAGGAAAAGAAGAUUGAACCCGCAGAUUGGAUUGGAGGAGAAAAGAUUUAUAAAUUUUGAAACUUUUGCAAACAACACUUCAAACAAAAACAAAACGAAAGAUAAAAACUUAUCAAACACUUAUCGCCUCUAACAUUAAAUUCGAGUGCUCUUUAAUUAUUUAAAAACCGUAAUUUGAUAUUAGUAAUUUAUUUUAUUCCUUAGAAAAGAAAGUGCUAGACCACAUGUUGCUUACAUUGUGUUUGUGAUGGAAUUUUGGGCGUUACAGAUGUCAUCCGCCACUAUGCAAACUAGUGGAUGAGUUGUUUAUUGAUCACGAUCACCUACAAAUUUCUACUCCCUCAGUUUCAAAUUAUAGGUUGUUUUAAUUUUUCUUAAUUCAUAAAUAUUUGCAUGCAUCCAGAUAUAUACUAUAUUUACGUGUAUAAAUAUGGAGGGAGUAAACUCUUCUGGCCGUCCUUUGCUAUCACUGGCUUACUGCUAGCCUUUUAGCCAACCUCCUCGUUCGUCAUAUUCAAUACAACAUCGUUGCUCAAAAAUAAUUUUCCGUAACUAUACGUUUUCUAUUUAAAGUGAACACCGAAACCACCGCAGAUCUCACAAGUUUUUCACCUAAAUAAAUCGGCCCAAAGGGCUUCUCAUAUCAUCAGCCCGCCAAGAUUCAUCAGUAGCGAGCCAACAACAAGAUAUUGGGCCAUAAGCCUAAAUGCCAAGCCCAGCUCCGGAUUCUGCCACAAUCGCGGAAGGUCGUCGACGCGGCCUUUCCACUAGGGAGACCCCCCGUCUCCGUCUCCGUCGCCGACUCGCCGACCUCGACCACCCGCCUCUCCAUGGACGGCGGCCGAGCAGCAGCCGGCGGCGCAUACCCCUCUCCCGUCGCUGCUCCUCCACAUCCUGCGGCGCUGAGCAACACUCCUGUCGAUGCCUCCUCGUUCAUCCACACGCCGUUCUACUGGUAUCCACUCCUUUUUCCCAUACUCUCGAUCCAUAGUUUCUCGCCGUAGAUUCAGGCAAGCAUGGUUCCCACCAGGAAUUAUUACUUGGACUGGCACAACUGAGGCAGCAGUUUCCCCGCCCUGUUCCUCCCUCAGCAGCAGCUCUGGCACCUGGCACGCGCGCGGCUUUGAUGCCGCUCAGGGUGGUGCGAGCGGCGUCACGCCGCUCCCACCGCGCGGGGCCUCGCGCGUCUUCCGUGGCGCGGAUGUCGGGGGCGUGCAACGCGAUAACCUCGGCAAACAUGCUGAUGGGGCAGCACCUGCGGGCCGGCCGAUUGGACGCCGUGCGGGAGGUGUUCAACGGAAUGCCGCGGCGGGAUGUUGUGUCCUGGAACACCCUCAUGGCCACACACGCCCGGUCCGGGGCGCAUGGCAGUGUGGCUGCCGCGUUCGCUGAAAUGAGGCGACAUGGGUUCCACGCAGACAACGUCUCGUUCUCGACCGUGCUGUUGGCCUGCUCGCGGAUGGAGGCUCUGGAGCUCGGGAUGUGCAUCCACGGGCUGGCGACCAAGACCGGUGCCUCCCGGAACGUGUUUGUCGGUGCGUCCCUGACCACAAUGUACGCCAAGUGUGGGCUGUUCAGCUUCCUAGAACGGGUUGUGAACGCUGUUGACAGUCCAAACGUGGCCUUGUGGAAUGCUCUCAUAUCAGGACUUGUGAUGAACCAUCGGGUGGAGGAUGCUCGCAGGGUCUUCGAUAAGAUGACAGAACGCAAUGUUGUGUCCUGGACUGCCAUGGUCAAAGGGUACGUCAGGGUGCAUGAAUUGGGAUGGGCCUUCGAGCUGUUUAACUUGAUGCCUGCAAAGAAUUCAGUGUCAUGGUGUGUCAUGAUUGGAGGUUUUGUCAACCAUAAGCGGUUUGGAGAGGCAGUCGACUUGUUCAAGUCUUUGGUGAGUAGUGGGGAGGAAGUAACAAGUGCAGUUCUGGUCAAGAUUGUGAGGGCUUGUUCUAGCUUGAAAAGUAUUGGAGGAGGUCAAUGCAUUCACGGUUUCGCUGUGAAGUCUGGGUUUAUUCUUGACCAGAUCAUUGAGGCAUCACUGGUUAUGAUGUACUGUAAUUCCUUAGACAUCGAUGAGGCACGGCUUGAAUUUGAUAGAAUGGAAAGAAAGCAUGUUGGCUCAUGGAAUGCCAUCCUAUCUGGCUAUAUCCAUGCUAACAGGCUUUAUGAGGCUAGACAGCUUUUUGAUUCCAUGAUUGACAGAGAUAGGAUCUCGUGGAACUUGAUGGUCAGUGGCUAUAUAAAAGAUGGAAGAAUCGCUGAUGCUACUGAGUUGUACUCAAAGAUGCCUGAAAAGAGUGUGGAAGCGGGUACUGCUUUGAUGUCUUGUUUUAUAGACAAUGGAAUGCUUGACAAAGCUCGGCAUGUGUUCUACAAUAUGCCUGAAGUAGAUGUGAUGUCCUGUACUACUUUACUCUUUGGAUAUGUGAAAGGAGGGUAUAUAGAUGAUGCACUGGUUCUUUUCAAUAGGAUGCGUAAAAGGACUGUUGUCACCUACAAUGUGAUGAUAGCUGGUUUGCUUCAUCAAGGUAAGGUUACUGAAGCCUACAAGCUCUUUGAUGAAUCUCCAAUGCAUGAUUUAGUAACUUGGAGCUGUUUAAUCAAUGGGCUUGCUCAAAGUGGUUUAAAUAAUGAUGCACUUAAGCUGUACAAGAAGAUGCUACUGUCAAAUAUACGACCAAGUGACUCGAUGCUUUCUAGCCUCAUUGGCUGUUUUUCGCAUCAUUCUAUGAUGGUUCAUGGCCAGCAGUUUCAUGGUAUUAUUAUCAGGCUUGGGUUUGAAUCACAUUUGCUAAUUCAAAAUUCACUUAUUAGUAUAUAUUGCAGAUGUGGUGAAAUGUUAAUGGCCCAAGGCAUAUUUGAUAGCAUGGCCAGGAGAGAUGUAGUGACAUGGAACACUAUGAUUUGUGGAUAUGCACUCAAUGGUCUUGGUCAAAAUGCUAUUCAGACAUUUGGUAACAUGAAUAAGGCACAAGUUGAUCCUGAUGACAUCACGUUUAUCGGCAUACUUUCUGCAUGUAAUCACAUGAGCCUUUUGGAGGAAGGCAAACAUUUCUUCAAUAUAAUGACAUGCAGUUAUGGAAUUUUACCGAAUAAAAUGCAUUAUGCUUGCAUGGUUGAUCUAUUCAGUAGGAGAGGCAUGCUUGAGCAAGCUGAAGAGUUAGUGAAGUCAAUGCCAUUUGAACCAGAUUCUGCAAUUUGGACUUCUCUCUUGAGCAGCUGUAGAUUGAAUGGCAAUGGCAGGUUGGCAGAACAUGCAGCGAGUCAACUAAUCUCAAUCAACCCUACCACUAAAAUGCCAUACCUGCAUCUCAUCAGUGUAAAUAGAUCAACUGAAAGAUGGAGUGUGAUGGACAAUUUGAGAAGUCAAAUUGGAAAUGCAGCAACAGACAAAGAAGUUGGCUAUAGCUGGAUUUAACAUUCCAUCAUGAUUCACUGAUGUGUACUGUGUAACAGCAGCAUGUCAAUAAGGUACCAGAAUACAAGGCUGCCUAUGGGCUAGGGCUGCCAAUUAUUAAGCACGGCUUUUAACUUCUCAUGGUGCAGCCACAACCCAUGGAUCACUUAUGCAGAAACUUGUCACCACGGGUAAAAAUUCUAGUUUGUAAUGAUAGAAGCAAGUGAAGCCAGUAUAUGCGUCUUUACAAUUUGUGAUGGAUUUCGCGGGAUGUUGUUUAAUUGGACUGUCUAUUAAGACAGGAAUAACCAAUGAUUUUAUCUACUAACAAUGAAAAAUUAACCCAAGAAGUUUAGUAUUAGAUGUGACAUUCGCAAUAAGAAGAAUGUCAAUAUGUCAUUCUUGUGCAACUUUUUUUAUACUACUACAUGUACCAGUUUCAUGUUACAUGAAGCACUUACACCAAUCCAUCAUGUGCAACAGAAUGCAUAUACUUCUGUUUUGUUUGUGUUUAUUUCUUUCAUUUCCAUUCUGUUCUUGACGUUCCUCCUCUCAUUUCUGUAUAUUUUACAUUAUUUUUCUCUUGCGAUCAAUAAUCAAGUCACAAUACAAAGUAUUUUUUGCUGUUUAUAUUCAUGCCUAACAGAUAAUUUCAUAUGCACCAUUUGAGCCUUGUCUAUUUUGUAUAAGAUUUAUCUCUUUUUCUAGAAGAUAUGUGGUGAGCUAUACAUAGGCAAAAAUCCUCUGCUUCACUAAAGUUUAUAUUUAUUUCAUACAUUUCCAUUCUGUUCUUGCUGUUCCUCCUCUCAUUUCUGUAUAUUUUACAUUAUUUUUUCUCUUGUGAUCAAUAAUCUAGUCACAAUACAAUGCAAUUUUGCUGUUUAUAUUCAUGGCUAAGAGAUGGAUUUCAUUUGCAUCAUGUAGUGAAGAAAAUAUCUACAUUCUAUGUAAGGAACUGAUAAGAAUUGGAGUGGCUGAUCCUAUGGGCACUGAUCUUUAUGUUGUUUUCAUAUCAAACGAGGAAAAGAAGGUGAUUUUGUUGCAUUUUUUUGUUAAUGUAUAUCUCAAUUCCUUUAGCUAGAUCCCCCCCCCCCCCAACCCCCCCCUUGCUCCCACCCAUGUAAGUAUGACUUUAAAUCUCAUUUCGAUUAAAAAUCAACUUUCAUGAAACAAAGGGAUAUGUUCAAACUCACCUCCUGGUGGUCUUCUCUCUCUAAAAAACUUUUCCAAAUCAUCCCAGUUUCGCACUGUAGCUAAAGUACCUGUCUUCAGCAAAUACCAGCUCUGAUCAGGAACCUGCGCAGAAACAGNNNNNNNNNNNNNNNNNNNNNNNNNNNNNNNNNNNNNNNNNNNNNNNNNNNNNNNNNNNNNNNNNNNNNNNNNNNNNNNNNNNNNNNNNNNNNNNNNNNNUUUUAUUCUCCAGGUUCCUCUCUGGCAUCAGAAAGCAAGUAACUCUGAUGAAGGAUUUAUCUGCUGGGAUUAUCAUGUGAUCUGCGCCCAGGUAAAGCUAAACUUGAUUGUCUGGUAUUUUGCUUUAGUUUAGUAUGUACUGCCGACAUAAAAGCAGUGUAUUGUGUAUCAUGUACCAUUUCAUGUUACUUCUUGAUGUGCAUAUGGAAGUCUAGGCGAAACGAAACAAAGGAGAAGUUCUUGAUCUUGUUUGGGAUCUGGACUCGGAUCUUCCUUUCCCUUCCCCAUUCAGCCAGUAUGUUUCCGAUGCAAUUCAACCACUAGCAUUUGGUGAUUCCAUAUAUAGAAGGUAAAUCUUCUGUUGCUUUUGUUGUUACCAGUGUAAUUAUUUAUUUAUUCUUCAGAACAGUUUAUGACGCACCUAUUUGAAUGAACUAAAGGGAAGCCUUCUGAAAUAUAUCCUAAAUAUUUGUUGUAGAUGCUACAAAAUUAACAGUAUGUUGCUGUUUUAACAUGCAAUCUGCUUGCAUGGAGUUUAUUCGAAGAUUUGGAAUUUAGGGAUCAGAUGAAUCUUUUGCAGAUUUUGGGAAGCCCUUAAUGACAUAUAAGUGUAUAUGCAUUUAUAGUUCUGGACUUCAGUUAUAGGAUCAUGUUGGUCAGAUGAUUGUAUGCAUGCCAGAUUGCAACAUCAUGAGGCAUCGAGGCAUUAUAUAGGUGGGAUGGAAGUGUUGUACAUACUCGGUUGGAGUUGCUGUCGUUUUAUUUCUUUUGUGAAUAUCAUAAGUUUUUUCUCGAGUCUUGACCAAAGUUGGGAGCUUGUGGGGUACACAAGGACAUUUUUUUUUUGGAGCAGCUUACAAAUGUUCUCCCAUAUAUAUUCUUUACAGGCUCUUCCGUGUGGUUCAUGCUCCUUUGUUUCUUCAAUCAUUUGCUUCAGAUAGAAGCCACAUGAAGAACCCUGCGGGGAAUUGGAUUCAGCUACCCCCAAAGUAUGAUCCCAUCAUGGCCGCAGGUAUUUAAUAGUAUGUCAUGAUUGCCUUCUUUUUGGCAAUUCAUUGCACUCUAUUUUUUGUAUUUUUGAAAAUGGAUUCCAUGCACACUCUUAGCUCCCCUGUUUACUAUAAGUUGCAUAUACGUUCAAAUGAUGAAUAUGAUGUAAAAUUGUGUAUACUAGGUAGUAGUAAGUACGAAUCCAAUGAGUGUAUAUGAAAUGUUUUGUCCACUUUAAAUUUGAACAUGACAAGUCUUGUUUCCUUGUUUGUAUGAGGAUUUGAUGUGUCCAGACAUAGCAGAUGGCACAUUAUUUUAUCUUUGAUGCUUUCUCCCUGCCUGUUUCAGAUGGAACCACCAAUAACCUUAAUGAGUACAUUGCGAUGUCUGUGGAGGAUGUGGCAGACCUGGAGAGUGUGGUUAAUGAUGUUUACUCCAACAAACAUGGUGUAGUGGUUAAUGAAACAAUACUGCCCAGAUUCUUCGCUCGACUGCCUGGUUCACAUCCUUAACAAGUGCACCACAAAUAUUGUUUCAAAGUAGCUUCAGGAUUUCUUUAUGUUGGUGGGUUACUCUGUUCUAUGCCUCUAGUGCAAGAUUAUGAGUUAAACAUGUGUUCAUACGGAGCAUCUGGUGUCUCCAAGGAGUGUUUCGGAUCUGUUUUGGAACUAAGAAAUAUAAGCAUUUUGUAGUUCAACUCUACUAGAAAUCUGAAAGUUAUCUUGUCCCAAAUGGGGCUUUAAUGAUGAUGCUUGCUUAACAAUGUGUGACCAGGCCAUGCUUAACGGGCAAUGCUUCUUUUUUGUUGUAUUCUUUUUUAACUGGACCAAACUACUCUAAGUGAAUGUGUUACUCCUAUGUGCACGUUUGGCCUGGCAAAUGGGUCAGCAUUUUGGUUCACCUAUAUAGAUGUAACACCCUAACACUCUCAUUCCAACAGAUGUCGAAAGGGAGCUAUUUAAUGGACUAUUCUACAAAGUUAGAUAGAUCAAUUAGGUAGAAAUCUUGAACAUUGUUAAAAAUGACAGACUUACCUGCUCACCUAAUAUUGAAAUCUUCGGAACUGGAAGACAUCAUUCUGAAUUGAUAGGGUUGUUCAGAGCCUGAAUAUUUCCCAAAUGUGACUCAGGUUUAAAUAGGAGACUUGUGCUCUAAAGAGUACAGAUGCUACUUGUCACAGGUGCCCAUAGAGCUAAAUGUCCAAAUUGACACAAAUAGAUGAUCUUGACAUCCUUAGCAAUGCUCUUCAAGUUAUUUCAAAACACUGUAAAAAUUUCCAUUUGCAGUGUAUUAUUACUCUAAUAAUGCGUCCAGUGAAACCCAGUCAUUGUUUUGUGGGAGUCUGAACAAAAACGCUUGGCCCGUAGAUGCCUCGAAGGAGUGCCACAGAGAAGUCCAUGUCCUGUCCGGGGCAAAAGAGUUCAACAUUGGUGCAUUUAGGCCUAGGGCAUGCAUAGUUCUGGAUCUGCCCCUGCUGACCGAUGCUAAACUUGCAGUUACUUCAGUUUGUUGAGUAGACCAAACUAUUGGGGUGUGUUUGGUUACCGGGUUGAACUGGGUCGGAACGGGUUCGACCCCCUUCAUCCCGCGUUUGGUUGAAAAAUGAUGGGGAACGGGUUGGACCCAGAUGGGAAUAUUCCCAGUUGAUUCGGGUCGAGCGGAUUCCUCCAAAAUGGACGGACCGCUCGAACCCAGUUCUCCCUCGCGCGUCCCGUGAAACCAGCUGGGGCCAGCAGUCACCGCUCCAACCCUAUCCUCACCUCUCUCACCCCCUGACGCCAGGCGCAGCGCCGCCUCCUUGCCAUCGCCACCGCCGCCCGUGGCAUCCGCCGCCGCCCGCGCCCUUCGCCGCCGCACGCGCCAUCCGCCGCCGCACGCGCCAUCCGCCGCCGCCCGGACCUUCCGCCGCCGCACGCGCCAUCCGCCGCCGCCCGGACCUUCCGCCGCCGCACGCGCCAUCCGCCGCCGCCCGCACCAUCCGCCGCCCGUGGAUCUAGCCGCCCGUGGAUCUCGCCGCCCGUGGAUCUCGCCGCCGCCGGAUCUCGGCCCCGCCCGUGCCUUCCGCCGCCGCCCGUGGACUCCGCCGCCGGCCCCUUCCCCCCAUCCGCCGCCCGUGGAUCUCGCCGCCGCCGGCCCGUGGAUCUCGCCGCCGCCGCCCGUGGACUCCACCGCCGGCCCCUUCCCCCCAUCCGCCGGCCCGUGGAUCUCGCCGCCGCCGGCCCGUGACAUCCUCCGCCGCUCCUGACCUCCGCCGCCCCCCUGCCAUCCGCCACCCCUGACUGGUGCCGCCCCUGACUGGUGCCGCCCCUCUGCCAUCCGCCGCUCCUGACCUCCGCCGCCCCCCUGCCAUUUGUCGCCGCUCCUGCCAAGCAACGCCCCUGUCAAGCUCCAUCUCCCCCACAAGUCCCGCCCCUGCCAAGCGCCACCCCUGCCAUCCACCACCGUCGUGUCCCCUGCUCUCCAAAAGGUAAGGAAAGUCUACACCAUGCUUGACAUCUUGAUAUUUGAACUGUAUUAGCUUCGGAUGCUCCUGGUUCAUAGUAUUUUGGGAGAUAAAUUGAACAAAUCAUCCAGUAGCAGGACAUCCUGGUUCAAUGGUCUCUAAGAAUAGGUGUUUUUUUCAUUCUUGUAUUGUAGAUGGAUAAGAGGACCAAGAUUGUAAGUUGUGCUGCUGCUGCAUACAUGCUGUUGUCAAUGAUGGCGGUGAUUAUUCAGUCUAGGAAACGUAAACGAUGUACAAGAAGAUUUGGUAUUACCUAUGGGCCUAUGGAGGCAAGAGAUAGGAUGAGAGUAGAUUAUCUAAAUAACAAAAUUUGGAAGGAUGACACAACUUGCUUGAACAUGUUAAGAUUUAAUAGAGGCAAGUUCUUUCGGUUUUGCAAUCUUUUUAGAGAGCGUGGGUUGCUUCAAGAUACAUGUAACUUGUGUGUUGAGCAACAAGUGGGUAUGUUUCUAAAUACAGUGGGGCAUAACCUUAGGAAUAGGUUAGUAGGAACUAAUUUUGAUAGAUCGGGAGAAACAGUUAGCCGUUAUUUCAACAAAGUACUCCAUGCUAUUGGGGAGCUGCGAGGGGAACUAAUUAGGCCUCGUCUUUGGACACUCCAAGCAAAAUUGCAGGAAACAACAGAUGGGAUCCUUACUUUAAGGUGUGAGGCUUAUCCCUCUUUUGUUUUGAGUUUUGUAUUAAUCUUACCUCAUAUGGUCCCUAAUUAUUACUUUUUUGAAAAAAUUAGGAUUGUAUUGGAGCUAUUGAUGGUACUCAUGUAAGAGCAUCUGUUCCUAAGAACAUUGAGCAUGCCUUUCGUGGUAGGAAAUCCGUUUGCACACAAAAUGUAAUGGCAGCUGUAGAUUUUGAUCUACGUUUCACCUAUGUAUUGGCUAGUUGGGAAGGGGCUGCACAUGAUGCUCUAAUUUUACGUGAUGCUUUAGAACGUGAGAAUGGCCUUCGUGUUCCACAAGGUAAUAGAGUAGUAAACUCUCAACUUUUACAUACAAAUAUCAGUUUAUAGUAUUAUAACCAAUCUGUCUAUCAAAUGAUAGGCAAGUUCUACCUAGUCGAUGCUGGAUAUGGAGCCAAACCAGGAUUUUUGCCCCCCUUUCGUGGUGUUCGGUACCACUUAAAUGAAUGGGGAAGUAAUCCAGUUCAAAAUGAGAAGGAAUUGUUCAACCUUAGACACUCAUCACUACGUGUCACUAUAGAGCGGGCAUUUGGGGCACUAAAGAGGAGAUUCAAAAUUCUUGAUGAUGCUACUCCAUUCUUCCCUUUUCCAACACAAGUAGAUAUUGUUUGUGCUUGCUGCAUUAUUCACAAUUGGGUCAUACAAGAUGGGCGUGAUGAGUUCUUUGCAGAGGAUACUAAUUGGCUAAGCUACAACCAUGCUUCCACACGCACUGGCCAAGAAAAUGAGCAUGUUGCUAUGGUUAAUUUCAGGCAGCAGCUAGCAGAUCAGAUGUGGGCAGACCGUCAAAACAAUAAUGUUAACUAAUAUUUGUUUCAAAAAUGAAUUUUUUUCCAGUUGUAUAACAUCUUGGCUGAUGUAUUGCUAUUUGUAAGGACAUGUUUGAUGUUGAAUAAUAUUUUUACGAACAUGUUGCUUGCUGAAUUUUAUGUAAUUUGUGGAGAUAAUGUACAUUUUGUCUACGUAUUCUAUAUUGGUGUAAUCUAUAUUUUGGCUAUGUAUUGGUGCUGAUUUUGUAUUGGUGAUAAUCUAUAUGUUGGCUAUGUAUUGGUGCUGAUUUUGUAUUGGUGAUAAUCUAUAUUUUGGCUAUGUAUUGGUGCUGAUUUUGUAUUGGUGAUAAUCUAUAUUUUGGCUAUGUAUUGGUGCUGAUUUUGUAUUGGUAAUCUAUAUUUUGACUAUAUUUUGGUGCUGAUUCUGUACUAGUAUUAUUACUGAUUGUGUUUUUAUCUAGCAGAACAAUGGAGGAAGUAGGUGAAGGGCGUGGGGGAACUAGUGGGCAUGCUACAUGGACAUCCGCAAUGUCUGCUUUAAUGCUCUCUCACCUCAAUGAUUUGGUGGCUACUGGUUUGAAGACAUCAAAGGGCUUUAAGAAACACCUUUUCAAUGGUUGUGCUAGGGCUAUCAAUGAGAAGUUCACCACAAGGAUCACUGGUGAGCAAGUCAAGAAUCAUUUGAAAACAUGGCAGAAAAGGUAUGCAAAGAUAAAUAGAUUGAAGAAGUUGAGUGCAGCCCUCUUUGAUGAAGAAAACUGCAUGAUUACACUAGAUGAGGAGCACUACAACGGUCAUGUCCAUGUAAACUUACUAUCUUUGCUUAGUUCUUAAUUGAUUGACCGGUGUUAAAUUAUAUUAACUUAUUUGUCCUCCAUAUGUAGGAUCACAAGUCUGAUGCUGAGUUCUUGAACAAGCUCCUCUUGCACUAUAGAGAUGGAGGCAAUAUUUGGUAAUAGCAUGGCUACUGGAAAUUUUGCAGAAGACACAAGUGCACCUCUAGGUAGAGAGGAGGAUGAGGGUGAAAGUCAGGAAGAGGGGGAUGAGGUUACUGGUCAUGGUCUAAGUGAUGGGCCUACCAAUCAAGGGGCAACAUCUUGUGCUAGUAGACCAAGUAAGAAGGCCAAGGUAGCUGCAAUGGAGGAGGAUGGGCUGGUUGCCGCUUUCAAAAGUGUAGGUGAGAACCUUGUUGCUGCCAUAAAAUUGGUUGCUAAACCUGAUAAUGAGCUGCCAGCUGACCUAUUUGACAUCUUGAACCAACUUCCUGGUUUUACUUCAGCACACAUAUCUUUCUACUAUGCUCAUUUGGUGGCCAAUCCUCACAUUGGCAAAGCUUUCUAUAAUCUGCCAUUCGAGCACAAGUUAAAUUGGAUCACAAUGUUCAUCGCUGAGAAGUUCCCUGGAAUGUAAGGUUGAUUUGUUGAGUGGGAUGUUUCUUUUGUUAUAACUUGAAUCUUAUAUUAGUGUGUAAGUCUUGAACUUAUAUUAUGUAAGGCUUGAAUUUGGUGUAACUUGUUGUAUUGCCUUGAACUUGCUAGAUGUAAGUAAGGCUUCAACUUGAUUAACGUUGCUCAAGAUUGAUGAAUUGGUGUGCCUGCUUGCUGCCUCUGUUCAAUUGGUUAAUUACCUUGACAAGUGAUUUUCUACCCGGCAAAUGCAUGGUGUUAUUCCCAUCCCUCCUGGUGAAUGUUCUGUUCUUUUAGGAUGAUUUAUACCUAUGUGUUUAUAACUAGAAAGAAAAGGAGCAUCAAAUCCUAUUUUUACAAGUAUGACACAAUUGCUACAAACAUGAAAGUCUGGAGAAAAGCUUGCAUUUCAAUAGCCUAUUUUGAUAUAUUCUGUAGAUCGGUUAAGAAGUUAAGAGGUUGAUGAUUCUAUAUUAUUUUCUAAAUUAAACAAUACUCAAUAAUUUUUUACAGUACAUAACAGUGCUAGAAUGUGAUAUUGUUGAUGAAUUGGUGUGGCAGCUAUGUAUGUGGUAAUCUCACCAGCUAGGUGAGCAUAUUCAGUGUCCAACUCGCAUUCUCCAACCAAACAAGAGAUGGAACCACUCCGACCCACUUUAUCCCCCCAAUCAAACAGAAAACUGGGUCCAACUCAUCCCUGCAACCAAACAAGAGCUGGGUCGAACCCAACCCAGAUAACUGGGUCGGCUCCGACCCAACCCACAUGGUUCCAAAACCAAACACACCCUUGGUUUUAGAGAAGAGAACACCCCCCCACCCGAACC